rnacentral:lncRNA from 1 species
CUGGAGUUGUAUGCUUUGUGACUGAAGACUAGAGACUGGUGUCACGGUGACUUGCACCCACUCCUGAUGGUCCUACCACCCAGCUUUUGCUCUCUUGAAUUUUCUUAUUUUCAUAUUAACACUGCUAUUAGGGUCAAUCUCUGUUGUUUACUGCUCUAAUUAAGCUAUUGCUAGGAUUCCAUGUUUCCUACAGACCUACAUUGUAUUACACUGAUCAUUAGUAAUUCAACCUACGUUGUAUUAUACUGGCCAUUAGUUGAAUGUUGAUUCUCUGAUAAUCUUAAUACAUCCAUGGCUGUUCAGGAAAUAGGGAAAAUGUAUAAACUGGUGUAAUAUUACACAGUAACCUCCUCUUAGAUCUGAGCUAAGAUUAUAUGGGUUCGACCCAUGUCGAUACAUAGUGCAUCGGGUUAAUGUGCCUCAAGCGUAAGGACUCAUGACAUAUAACGAAUUCCACAUGUUGAGUUAAAAAACUGUACGUUUGUUUUUUGCUAUUACGAAACAUUUGACGAUGUUUUGUUUUAAUCUUAAUCAAAAUGCUAAAGAAAUGCAACUCAAGGUUUAGUUACUGUAAUUUUACUUAUUGUUAUUUCCACGCUGUUCUCUACAAAGAAAAAUAAAUUACGGACAAAUUGCAGUGAUAAGCUAUCAAAAAGAGACACACAUUUACUUAUAUUGCUCAAUAUUCAAUUGAUCGAUUUUUUUAAUUACGAAAGUACGAUGUUCCAAAACUGAAAAACGAACUAUUGGUUUAGUAAUUAAUUACAAAACACAACUAAGCAUGGAAAGAAGCGUCUAAUUUUUUUGGCGUCACCUACUUAUGUAAUAUAUGUUCCCGUAUGCACAUUUCUUUCUCUUUUCCAGUUAUGUGACAUGAUUGUCUGAAGUUUAAUGCACCCCUCGAAAUCUUUCUUGACUGAAUGUCUAAAUUCAGUGCAACUAGGAUUUUCUUGGUGAGGUUGCAUUCAUGCAAAUAAGAAAUUUCAUUGUGCUAGAAUUGCCUCCAGGUAAUAUCAAUCUAAUAUCUCUUAUGAGUUAUGAUAGAUGUUCUCAGUCUGAACAUCUUCCACUGAAGUACUAUUUUUUGUCUCUCACCGAUUUAUGGUACAACAAUUAGCAACAUCAAUCUAAUCUAAUCAAAUAAAUAGAGGAUGAAAGUAGUAUAUAUUGGAUGUAGUUAUAAUACUUUAAAGGCUGCUACCUUGAGAACUUCUGCAAACAUAUAAAUAACAUCAUAUAUCUAUAUGCGGAUAGAUAGAUGUCAUUUCAUCAACUGUGCUUGGCCUCUAAAUUACGGAUCUAUGUACAUGGAGAAUAAAAGAUAGUUUGAAUGUGUGAUCAAAGGGCAGCUCAAUUGUAAACUAUAUCUAUUUGGGCCUUCAAUGUGUGGAUUAUAUAUCAUUUGAUAUUUAUGACAAUGAGUGAGUGAUUCAUGCAUCGGCAUAUUAUACUGGGCUAUUGAAUCACUCCAACUAUCUUUUGUGCCUGGUGUAGUCUCUUCGUCGCGAUCGGGAGUUCAGAUGGUUAUUAGAAUCAACUGGGGCAUGCUCGCAACAACAUAACUAUUCACAUGGUUGAGGUGGCAGACCAGCUAAGCCAGAGGGCGACCUUGCCCUAGAGAUGGAGGCGAGCCGUAGAGGGCCUUGCUUUUGAAGGCAUUGUGAAGGAAUCAACAAUUACUUAUUUCCAUUUGUUGUUUUAUAAUCGGUAGCACCUGUAUUUACUCAAUAGACGACAAAGCCUGAUGCAUUGCUCAUGAUCCCCUUUUGUGGGGUUGCAAUCUUGAUGAAGAAAGAAAUGUAUAUUUGCCACUGUAUGUUUCUUUGCUCUUUGGUGGUCUGGCCAUGUAAAACACACAACUAUUAAGGAGAAUAUUUUCUCCUCACUACUACACAACAUAUGUUGCUUUACUUUGGUGUUAACCAUAGUCUUCUCAUUUCGCAAAAAAAAUUCUUCUCAACUGAGCUGAGAGCAUGCCCAAUUUUUUAAAAUCCGAUACUGACUUGACUUCUUUUGCGGAUGACUAUUGAUUUGAUUCAGAAGCAUUUAGGAAGUGCAUGCAAUUUGAUGAGCACUAGAUGGAUGUUAAUAUCAUGGAAAUGCUCAAAGUGUAUUAUUUAAAUUUCUUCAAUUGCAUUCAUGUGUGAUAGAAAUUUGGAGUUAGUUUAUGAUGAUAUUAUUACUAGCCCGUGCAGGUGCAUGAGUUGACGACUAGUUAACCAUAAAGUGGCACUUUUCCCAAUUCAAGACAAGACUAGUAUCUUCGCGUCUCUGCAGAACUCAAUCAAGGUUGCUCAAGCAAUCAUCAAAAGAGGAUCCAUAAAUGGAGAAAUCAUCCAUGAAUACCUCACAAAUCUUUUCACGGAAGUCAGAGAAUAUAGACAUCAUGCAUCUUUGAAAGGUAGCAGGUGCAUUACAUAAACCAAAAGGCAUACGUCUAUAAGCAAAAGUACCGAAAGGGCAAGUAAAAGUAGUUUUAGAUUGAUCCUUCGCCGAUACAGGUAUUUGAGAGAAACAAGAAUAACCAUCUAGAAAGCAGAAAUGUGUGUGUUUGGAUAGUCUUUCUAGCAUUUGAUCGAUAAAAGGUAAAGGGUAAUGAUCUUUCUUAGUGGCUUUAUUUAAUUUACGGAAAUCAGUUACCAUCCUAUAACAUGUAAUAAUUCUUUGCGGGACCAAUUCAUCUUUAUCAUUACGAACGACAGUAAUACCUACCUUUUUAGGAACACAAUGGACAGGGCUUACCCAAUCACUAUCAGCAACGGGAUAUAUUAUACCUGCCUCAAGAAGCUUUAGUAUCUCCUUUCUUACCACUUCUUUCAUUUUAGGAUUCAAUCGUCGUUGAGGAUCUCUAACUGGUUUGGCAUCAUCCUCCAAAUUAAUUUUGUGUUGGCAUAACGUGUGACUAAUGCCCUUGAGAUCAUCCAGAGUAUAUCAAAUAGCAGCACGGUGCUUCUUCAGAUUUUUCAAUAAUCUUUCUUCUUCUUGCUCUGAAAGGUUAGCACUAAUAAUAACAAGAUAUAUUUUCUUUUCAUCAAGAUAAGCAUACUUAAGAUUAUCAGGUAAUGGUUUGAGUUCAAACACGGGAUCACCACUACUAGGAAAAGGGCUAUAGAUGGAAUUGACACUAAUGGCGCACUAGACAUGUGGUGCGCCAUUAGUAUAUACUAAUGGCACACCACCUUCUGAUGCGCCAUUAGUGUUGAAACUACUAAUGGCGCACCCUGCCCACGGUGCGCCAUUAGUACCAAUUUUUUUUUGAACUAGUGCGCCUGUCCAAACAUACUAAUGGCGCAUCCACUGGUGGUGCGCCAUUACUAGUUGUAACUAGUAAUGGCGCACCAGCCAGAAGGUGCGCCACUAAUGUUAUUUUUUUAUUAUUGUUUUUAUUCCUUUUUUUGCAAAAGUACUAAUGGCGCACCGUGGCAGUGUGCGCCAUUAGUUUUUUUUUUGCAAAACUACUAAUGGCGCACCACCAGGGGGUGCGCCAUUAGUAACCUGGAUUACUAAUGGCGCAUUUGUUGCUGGUGCGCCAUUAGUAAGUGGGCAGCAACAAGAUAUUUUGGACAGCCUCUCCUCCCACACUCACUUUCUCCCCACUUCAUUCUCUCCACCGCCUCCUCCUUGUCUCGGGUGCCUCCUCUUUUUCACCUCAUUUCCACCAUAGAUUCAUUCAAAUUAAGUGGUUAAGUUACCUUGUUUUGCUAGGUAAGUAAGGGGGGAAGCUAUAUUUAUGUUGUUCUCCCUACAACAAUGUGCACAUGCACUUUUUAUGGCCUAGCUAGAUCUAUGUAUGUUCGUGGUGUUGCAUAUGUUUGUCGUGUUGCAUAUGUGUUUGUGUUUGGAGGUGUACCGGUAUUUGAAAUGCGAUAGUUGCCAAUAUUUUGCCGGAAUGUUGAUUCAUUUCCGUUUCGGCGAGAAUUUUGGCAUUAAGCAUUCUUUUUGGUCCUAUUUUUAGGGAAAGUCAUGCCAAAUUUUUUCUUGGUUCUAAAAUAUCGUUUUUCUCUACCCCGCAGGCGACCAUGGUCCGCACGAUGACCGAAGGCAUCGUGAAUAGGUUUUUGAGGUCCGCGAAGGCCGAGAUGCUUCAAAAGAACGAGACAGAGAUAAGAUGUCCAUGUCGAAGAUGCAAGCUGAAUAGCCUUAUUGCGGACCCGAAUUCCGGGCAGGUGCGGGACCACCUGCUCUUGCGUGGUUUCAUGGAUGGCUAUCGGUGGCAAGGUGAUGAAGAUGACUACGAAGUCGCCCAUGGGGGCCGGGCAAGAAAUGAGGAAGGGCAGCAAGACAACCACCGCGGCUCGGGGGGGCGAGAAGACGAAGAAUCCCUAGGAGAUGAUCACGACGGUGAUGCUGUACACAGUCAUCAUGUAGAAGAUGCAGGACAUGAUGAUGAUGCCGGCGGAGCAGACGACGCUGGACCAUCGAUGGGCUGGGUGCAGGACCCUCAUAUUCAAGAGCUGCUUCUCAAGCAGACGGAUAACGCAAGAGCUGCCGCCCGAGAGAAAGCCAAGAUGGAUCAACUUGAGUUAGACGCGGUUACUCCAUUGUAUGAAGGAUGCAGGCCCGAGGAUACCCGCCUAAAAGAUGACUGCAUCUCAUAGAAUAUAAGAAAUGGGGACUCUUGGCUAAGUAUGGCAAUGCCACAGAGUAUAAGAAGUACUCUUGCAUCUUACACAAUGAUAGGUCUAAUUUAUGCUACUCAACGAAAGAAGAAGAAAAAUGCACUGGACAUACACUGAAGAAAAAUGCACUGUAUCAUCGGGUAAUUGUCCAUGGUUUAUACCUGAAAAUAAGUUUAUCUCACGGCAUGAAUGUAAGUAUCUGUUCCGCAUUCAUGGGCUAUCUACCCAAGGUAAACCUAGAAAAUGAGUUAUAUCCAGGACAAGCCACUGUCAAUUAACACAAACGUUUGAUCAUCUCACUCUACUUACUGUCAAUUGACACUGUAUAACUGUCAGCUCCAUUCACUAGCAGCAGCCAGCACUUCUGAAUCUAAUCUUUCUUGGGCAAGCUCGGCUACUUGUUGUUAGUCAUUCACUAAAAGAUCCUCAACAGACUGCAUGCAUCUAGUAUUAAAUUUCUUGGACGGAUCAUCUCUUUUAGCAAAGGACUGUAAUAAUUAACUAACUGAAAAUUUGACAUUCUGGACUAUGCUUGGCUCUGGUUUUGUGAAAUCUCAUCUCUUUUCUAGUGCCAUGACUAGUCAUGAAUUUUAUUUUACUUUCCCCACUUUAUAACAUUCAGAAAUUGUUUACUAGCUCAAGCUUCUCCUUUGCACUUUAUCACUUCAAUCUGCUGCUACCUCAAGCUUCUCGUUUACACUUGUGCCAAGUAGCAUUUUUUCCUUGUAUAAUUAUAUGGUGGUUGACUGAGCUGCUACUUUUUCCUUGUAGAAGAUCGCAGGUCGAGUGGGAGGGAUCCAGUUGCGACGACACCGAAUCACUAGCAAGGCAGCUGCCUAGAAUAAUAGGUAUUUUUGUUACGCUUUCAGUUCGUGUCAGCAGGGAGAUAUAAUGUUUUACAAUCUUUCUGGUUAUAUUGGAGUUAGGUUUUUUGAAUAUGAGUAGCAGUGACUUGGAUAUACCUUAUGGAGUUGUAAUAGUUCCUCUUGGUGCUUAGGUGCAUUUUCUUUGUGUAACUUGGUUUAAAAAUGUGAUUUGGUCUUUUGUGGCAUUUGGAUGCCUAAAUCCCAUUUUCUUAAUCAUAUUGCUUGGAACUUUUGGUUAUCUCCUCUCAGUGAUGAAAUAAUUUAUAUGUACUGCACUUUUUUCAUAAUUAGGUAAUAACGUUGGUUACAGUUUUGGUAGUUCAAACGGAAUGUAUCUCAUUUUGUAGACAGAUUAUUUUCUGGAAUAUCAUAUAUUCAAAUUUGUAAUGAAUGAUGGCUUCUACCUGAAUUGGUAGACUUUGUGGUGUUAGUUUGUUCUAAAUACAGUAAGAUAAUUUUAACAACUGUAGAGCAUGUUGAGAUUUGCAACUUUUUUGUGACAUCAACCAACAGUCCUGUCACUGGGUUAUCCUAUUUUAUAUUUUUAAUUACUAACUUAAGUUUGAGUAAACAGUGGCAGUGAAGUCCUCAUAAUAAUCAGGCGGAUGUUAACUUUCUGAUGUCCCCAGAAGUUAACUAAGAUUGUGGUGCUAGUAGAGGCACAUUGUGGCCUUUUCAUCCAUAUGAAAGUAGAGGCACAUUGUGGUGCUAGUUUGCUGGGUUUUGUCUCCGACCAUCGUGUCGUGAUGAUAUUGCAGGUACCCCGAGAGGCCCUUGAGUUUGCCGGAAUGUCGAUUAACUUCCGUUCCGGCAAAUUCGGGUACUCCAUAUGUCCUAUUUUCAGCAAAGGUCAUGCUGAAAUUUUCCGUGAAUUUUAGCAUGACUUUGCUAAAAAUAGGACAUAUGGGGUACUUGUGACUAAUGCAUGGGCCGGGGUAUCUUAGUAGUUAAUUAAGUAGGAUCAAGUGCCCCGGCGUACUUGUGACUAAUGCAUGGCUUUUAGGGUGCCUCGGUGUCGAUAAAAAUCGAAAUGAUAAAAGGUUAGGCUUUUAGGGUGCCUCGGCGUCGAAAAACCCUCAAUGAUAAAAGCUUAGAUUUUAGGAUGCCUCGGUGUCGACAAACCCUAAAUGAUGAGACCAUGAUCUUGUUCCUUGACAAUAACCAACUUUUUGAUCAAACUUUGUUUCUAUUUAGAGAGAAACAUGGCCCACAACGAUGAGGCUGGGGGUUCGGGCGGCAAGGCAUUCUGGGAGCUGUCCCAGGAGAUGGAGGAACAACCUCACUUGUAUGAGGCCGCCGCCUUCCCCACCGAUCCUGAGACCACGGAUGGUGCCGCCGAGGAUGACCACACUGAUGCCACCACUGAUGGUGCCGCCGAGGAUGCCACCACUGAUGAUGGCGGCGCACGCACAGAUGGCAGCCAACCGAAGAGGCAACGGAAGGACCGGCGCCCGAUCGUGCUCCGCACCCUCAAGGAGGAAGUUACUGAAGUGGACUCCAACGGGAAUCCAAUGGCGCCCGAACGAAUAGUCAAGGGGUACUCGCUUCAGCUCGGGUGCAUUGUCCGGAGCACCGUCUCGAUCAACACCGAGAACCUGAGGCAUCCUGACCGAGGGAAUUUGCGCAACCUCCUCUUCACGAAGCUGCACGAACGAUACAAGUUCCCCGCUGAAUUUGAAAACACAAGCCUCAAAGGGAAUAAAGUGAACAAUGCUGCCCUCACGAAGAUGAGCAAGGCCCUGUCUACUUGGAAAAGCAAUGUGAAGAGAAUGAUCGAGAAAGGUGAGAGUUAUCAGAAGAUCAAGGAGAAAAAUCCUUCGAUCACCGAAGAUGACUAGAACGACUUCAAGAUCAAUUGCUCGAGCACCGCAAGCUCCCAAUCAAGUGAGUGGGGGAAACAAAUGCGGGAGCUGAACAUAGGGGAACACACACUCAGUCCCGGCGGUUACAGAGUGGCGGAGCCUAUAUGGGACAAGGAGGAGGCAGACCGUGCCGAGCAAGGCCUACCGCCCCUCUUCGAUAAAUACGGUGACAAGCAGGCCAGGAACUUUGUCAGGGCCCGGUACAAGAAGGACCCAAAAACAAAGGAGCUUACCACGGAUCCGAAGACCAGGCAGCUUGAGCUUGUUCUGGUAAGGAAUACACCCCCGCGUAAUUAGCUCCAUAUGGUUGCAUUCUAAUUAAUGAAGCCAAAUUUCUAAAUGGUUCACAUUCCUUCCGCAGGCGACUGAAAGCAGUAGCGCGGGGUCGACUAAGAGCAACCCUUGGGACACCACUCUAAAUAGGGGGUUGAAUGUAAUGAAGAACAAGGAUAAGCUCAGUAAGCCGACGUCAGCUGGUCGUGUGGCCGGCAAAGGCUUGUCGACAAAAUGGGGGUCAUACUAUACCGCUGGUGUGCGGAAGGAGAAAAAGACCAGCUCGGAAAGCCAGGCGCGGGAGGUUCAAGAACUCAAGGCACAGGUGGCGAGGAUUCCGGAGAUUGUCCAAGAGCAAGUGGAACAACGACUCGGAGCGACGAUCACCGCCCUUGUGCCUACCUUGAUCUCGGGGUUGAGUGCGUGGAUUGUGGGCGGCCAACAGGGGCCGCCCCCGAUUCCUAGCUUCACGGCCAGCAACUCGCAUAAUGCGAUGGCGGGGCCAUUGGUGCCUCCGGCGGAGGCGGCAUUGGUGUCUCCGACGCCGGCACGGGAGCUUAAUGCACUUGGGUGUACGCCGGCCGGCACCUCUUCAGCAAGCGGCCCCUCCGUCAACUGCACGCCCGCCGUUGGCGGUGCGUCGACAUUAGCCGAGCUCGACGCCAUCAUCACGGUAACUAAUUAAGCCUCUCUCGGCCGAGGACUUCAUCUCCUUGCCUUUGACUGGGCAUCCCUAACGCCCUACAUGUUUUCGCAGGGCGCCGCCGACAUUCCGUGCACUCUCCUCCACUUCGUGAACAACGAGUUGGUCGAUGUCGCCAAGGGCAAAAUCGUUCAACCGGGCAACCCCUUGUUCCAUGGUACCCAGAUGCCACCCAACUUGUUUAGGGUUCAACUGGUUCGGGUGCUGCCAGGCUGCGACGACUUGUUACCUCCGAUUCGACCCGUCGGGGCCGACGAUGAAGACGUGAUGACCCUCAGCGCCUGUCUGAGCUGGCCCCUGCUUUGGCCGGAGAGCCAGAUUCGUUUGGGGGCGGGGGACACCACCCCAAAGACAACACCGCCAUUCGUGCCGGUGCCAAGUCGGCCCCAUGGCAAGACCGCCGUAACGGUGCCGGACAUCCCUAUGCCACUGGAUCCAAACAUGCAUAUGGCACAGGAUCAGAACGACGACGACGACGACGAUGAUACAUUUGGCAACGUCGAUCAGUACUUUGCCGAUCAUGGGUACGAUGGCGACUUCAUGGGGCCUCCUUCUCAAGAACCAAACCCAACAAAAGACGUGUGCGAUCUAGCUGGUACCGCGGAGAAGCCAAGUUGCAACAGGCGCCGUCUGGCGUUCAGCUCUCAGGAGACGCCUCCAGCUGCCGACUUCACCGAGCCUCAGAUAGGCGAGGUGCGAAAUAUUAUCAGCCCCAACACACUCAAGAAGGCGGUCUGUGAGCAGAACUCAGUCCCAUUACAGGAGAAGAAGAAGGCACACAAAAGAAAGACUAAGAAGGGUGCGAGCCAGCCGACACCGAGUACGAUCCGUGCUCAGGACGGGCCACCUUCACCGCAGGAUAUCUCGAGGAGGGUGCAUGUGGCGGGUAGGGCGAUGCUACCGACAAAUAUGCUCAAUGCUGCAACCGGUGCUAUGCGGAGUCUGCAUGACAGUGUUCUUUCUUUGGAGAAGCGGCGUCUCAGGGAGAAGGAUGUGGCAUACCCGGUUUUCGCGGCCAAGGUGCCAGAGGGCAAGGGCUUUGUGGAUAACUCCAUCGGGCGUAUGAUCGUCCUGCGUUUUGAUGACAUCCACGCUAUGUUGAACCUUCAUCCGCUGCACUACACCUUCGUUCGGCUAUUUUCGCUGAGUAUGGAGAUGCAGAUCAUUUGCGACAAGACCCCGGACAUCGUGAUAGUUGACCCCUUCUACAUGCGUGCCAAGAUCUUGGGCAGCGCUGGGGACCGACAAGUCGCGAGUUCUUACCUCGAAGGCGUCAUUCUGGCAAACCAAGAUAAGGAUAACUUCCUCGUGCCUUACUUUCCCGAGUAAGUCCUCCCCUCAACCGGCCCGUAACAUAUGAAUUCUUACAUUUCGAUCGUUUUUCUUUUAACAUUCCGUGUUUUCUGCAGUGACACACGUUGCACGCUCAUCCUCCUAAGCCCCAAAUAUUCCAUGGCCACGUAUUUCGACCCGGACCGUCAGUCGAACGUAGACUACACAAAUGUCAAGAGGUUCUCGAUGAUGUUCUCCCCAGCUACGCCAAAUCUGGAGGCACCUUCACUAGGCCUAUUCGUAAGUACGGCAAGCACGUGUUCUCCCACAAUACGACGUUCUGCUGAAUCAAGCAGCCGCCUGGAGGUCAGAAGGGUGCCUACUACGCCAUCCAUCACAUGCGGGCGAUUGUACGGGACCAUCAUCAACUUCUGCUACCGAGUAAACUCAAAGAUUGGGCCGCGAGCGUGUCGGCAAUCCAGGACGCGGAUCUCUGACAAGAAUUCUUUUGCAUCCAGUCGGAGUUUGUGGAAAUCAUCCAUCAAGAUGUCCUUCGUACCUCGGGGCAGUUCUACCUCAGAAAUCAACCGUCCAACAGUGACAUCGACACAAUGCUACAAAUGCAGGCUGACAACGACCGUUAUUUCAUGACUCCCAUGAUAGACGGCGGCUUCAUCCACGCUCCGGUCCCUUGAGUCGAGUCGAAAGCAGUGAUGCUGUGUCUAGUUCUGAAACAUCGAUUGGCUCAUGUUGUAAUUAAACUUUAAUGAACUUGUAGUAUGUCUCUUUGGUUUCGAGAGUCGUUCAACUUAGAUGUAAUCGAUGCUAUUAAUGUCUUGCUUUUCUCUUCCGAUCGUUCUGUUGCAUACUUAUAUAUUGCUUAUGUAUUGUCUGUGAAUUGGUACUAAUGUUUCGUUUGGCUAGUGCAUAGCGAUGCCGAUGUAUGUCGUGUACAAGGGUAAGGUUCCCGGAGUCUACGAUGACUGGGAGGAGUGUCGGAGACAGGUUCACCGAUUCAGCGGUAACAGUUACAAAGGGUACACCACUAGGGCCGAGGCCGAAUCUAGAUACGCACACUAUCUAGCGGGAGAGGGGAGGGAGCGUUGGAGGAACCGGAUGAAGACGAGUUUCAUCGUGAUGAUGCUCAUCGUGAUGACCGCAGCUCUCUUCUAUGUGAUGGUAGUUUAGAUGAUCGAUAUCGACUUGUAAUGUGAAGACAAACUCGCUACUCGCGGUCUCGAGACUUGUAAUAUAAUGUUCUAUCUUUGUUCGGUCUUUUCAAUUCGGAGACUAAUAUGAUGAAUUGUAUUCGGAGACUAAUAUGAUGAAUUGUAUUCAAAGACUAAUCUUCUAUUGUAUUCGAUGAAUCUGUUGUUGAUGUGUGCUGUCUAUAUUUUGUCAAAUUAUACAUUUUGUAACCUGUGCAAAAAACCGAAAAUAAAAAAAAUAAAAAAACCCUAAUAUUCAUACUAAUGGCGCAUCACAUGACAGUGCGCCAUUAGUAUGACAGUGCAUACUAAUGGCGCAUCACUGGGUAGUGCGCCAUUAGUAUGCCGCGGUUACUAAUGGCGCAUCCAGAGGUGGUGCGCCAUUAGUAUGCCAAAGCACCUGGGUAUACAUGGCCCCUGGGAGGCAUACUAAUGGCGCACCCUGGCCUAUACUAAUGGCGCACCCGCGGUGCGCCAUUAGUAUACCAGAUACUAAUGGCGCACCAGGUGGUGCGCCAUUAGUAAAAAUUACUAAUGGCGUGCUAUUAAUGGCGCACCACAGAUGCGCCAUUAAUAGCCAUACUAGGUGCGCCAUUAGUAGGGGUUUUUCUAGUAGUGCACCCUUUAGUGGAGGGGGAUCCCCUAGAAUUUCAACGGGUAGGUUGUGUUUCAGCAUAGGUUCCUGUUGAAGGAACACUUCAUCUAUUUCCUUUCUUUCCUUCAUAAACAUAUCAUUUUCAUGAUCUAGCAAAUAUUAUUCUAACGGAUCAGUAGGAGGCACGACAAUAGAAGCAAGACCAAUAAUCUCAUCCUUACUAGGUGAUUCUCUAUCACAAGGUUGUCUAUGAAACUUAGCAAAAUUAAACUCAUGAGACAUACCCUCUAAGCCAAUUGUAACAGUAUCCUUUUCACAAUCAAUCCUAGCAUUAACUGUAUUUAAGAAGGGUCUACCAAAAAUAAUGGGACAAAAGUCAUCUUGUGGGGAACUAAGAAUAAGAAAAUCAGCAGGAUAUUUAACCUUCCCACACAAGACAUCAACAUCUCUAACAAUCCCAACUGGUGAAAUAGUAUCUCUAUUGGCAAGCUUGAUAGUAACAUCAAUACCUUCCAAUUCAACGGGUGCAACGUCAUGCAUAAUUUCUUUAUCUAAGUCAUAGGGUAUCGCACUAGCACUAGCACCCAUAUCACAUAAGCCAUGAUAACAAUGAUCUCCUGUCUUAACAGAAAUAAUAGGCAUGCCUACAACAGGUCUAUGUAUCUUACCAUCUGGUUUAACAAUAUUAGCAGUCUCACCAUAGAAAUAAAUAACAUGCCCAUCUAAAUCAUCAUCCAAUAGAUCUUUAACCAUAGCAAUACUAGGUUCAACUUUGAUCUACUCAGGAGGUGUAUUAGUCCUAGUAUUACUCUUACGAGCAACAGUCGAAGUUUUAGCAUGAUCCUUUGUCCUAACAGGAAAAGGAGGUUUCUCAACAUAAGUAGUAGGAACGAUAGGAUCACUAAGGUGACAGUCUUUUCUUCAACUGUAAUAGGUGCAACUACUUUUACUUCAACGGGAGGAUUAUAUUUAAACCACUUCUCCUUAGGGAGAUCAACGUGAGUAGGAAAAGAUUCACAGAAAGAAGCUACUAUCUCAGAGUCAAGUCCAUAUUUAGCACUAAAUCCAUGGAAAGCAUCGGUAUCCAUAUAAAAGACUUAACACAAUCAAACUUAGGUGUCAUACCUAACUCCUUACCAUCGUCGGAACCCCAAUCUUCAGAGUUGCGUUUAAUUCUUUCCAGUAAGUCCCAUUUGAAUUCAAUAGUCUUUAGCAUAUAAGAACCAGCACAGGAAGUACCAAGCAUGUUGCGAUCAUUGGGAGAAAGCCAAGCAUAAAAAAUUCGAAUAAUCAUUUCUCUGGAGAGCUCAUGAUUGGGGCAUGAAUAUAACAUUGAUUUAAGCCUCCCCCAAGCUUCAGCGAUGCUUUCUCCUUCGCGAGGCCAGAAAUUAUAUAUGUAAUUGCGAUCACGAUGAACAAGAUGCAUAGGAUAGAACUUCUGGUGAAAUUCCAACUUCAAUCGUUUAUAAUUCCAAGAUCCCGUAUCAUCACAUAGCCUAUACCAUGUCAAUGCAUCUCCCUUCAAAGAUAAAGGGAAGAUAUUCCUUUUGACAACAUCAUCGGGAAUACCUGCAAGCUUAAAUAAUCCACAAACUUCAUCCACAAAGAUAAGGUGUAAAUCGGGAUGCAAUGUUCCAUCUCCUGCAAAUGGAUUAGCUAGCAGUUUUUCUAUCAUACCCGAAGGAAUCUCAAAGUAAAUAUUUUCAGUAGGUUCAGUAGGUUGAGGAGCAACUCUUUGCUCUUCUGGUCGGGGUGAAGAUACCCCGAACAAGCCCCUCAAAGGAUUAGUUUCCAUAGUAACGAGUGACAGAAAAUUUCAGCACACUAUAUAAAUGUUUCCUUACCAAGUUCCACUCACCAAAAGCGCUACGCUCUCUGGCAACGGCGCCAAAAAAGAGUCUUGAUAACCCACAAGUAUAGGGGAUCUAUCAUAGUCCUUUUGAUAAGUAAGAGUGUCGAACCCAACGAGGAGCAGAAGGAAAUGACAAGCGGUUUUCAGUAAGGUUUUCUCUGCAAGCACUGAAAUUGUAGGUAACGGAUAAUUUUGUGAUAAGAUAAAUUGUAAUGAGUAACAAGCAAUGAAAGUAAAUAAAGUACAACAAGGUGGCCCAAUCCUUUUUGUAGCAAAGGACAAGCCUGGACAAUUUCUUAUAAUGAGAAAAGAGCUCCCGAGGACACAUGUGAAUUAUCGUCAAGCUAGUUUUCAUCACGCUCAUAUGAUUCGCAUUCGGUACUUUGAUAAUUUGAUAUGUGGGUGGACCAGUGCUUGGGUACUGCCCUUACUUGGACAAGCAUCCCACUUAUGAUUAACCCCUAUUGCAAGCAUAUGCAUCUACAAAAGAAGUAUUAAGGUAAACCUAACCACAACAUUAAACAUAUGGAUCCAAAUCAGCCCCUUACGAAGCAACGCAUAAACUAGGGUUUAAGCUUCUCUCACUCUAGCAACCCAUCAUCUAAUUAUUACUUCCCAAUGCCUUCCUCUAGGCCCAAAUAAUGGUGAAGUUUCAUGUAGUCGACGUUCACAUAACACCACUAGAGGAAAGACAACAUACAUCUCAUCAAAAUGUCGAAUACCAAAUUCACAUGACUACUAAUAGCAAGACAUCACCCAUGUCCUCAGGAACAAACGUAACUACUUACAAAGCAUAUUCACAGUUCAUAAUCAGAGGAGUAAUAAUAUGCAUUAAGGAUCUGAACAUAUGAUCUUCCACCAAGUAAACAAAUUAGCAUCAACUACAAGGAGUAAUCAACACUACUAGCAACCCACAGGUACCAAUUUGUGGUUUUGAUACAAGAUUGGAUACAAGAGAUGAACUAGGGUUUUGAGAGGAGAUGGUGCUGGUGAAGAUGUUGAUGGAGAUUGACCCCCACCCGAUGAGAGGAUCGUUGGUGAUGACGAUGGUGAUGAUUUCCCCCUCCCGGAGGGAAGUUUCCCCGGCAGAACAGCUCUGCCGGAGCUCUAGAUUGGUUCCGCCAAGGUUCCGCCUUGUGGCGGCAAAGUUUCGUCCCGUAAGCUUACACCCCAUAUUUUCCAGGGUAAAAGCCUUCACAUACCAAAAGAUGGACACCGGAGGGCCACCAGGGGGCCCAGGAGACAGGGGGCACGCCCAGUAGGGGUGGGCGCGCCCCCACCUUCCUGGCCAGGGUGUGGGCUCCCUCUGGUGUUUCUUUCGCUCAGUAAUUAUUAAUUCCAGAAAUAAGUUCCGUGGAGUUUCAGGAUUUUUGGAGCUGUGCAGAAUAGGUUUCCAAUGUUUGCUCCUUUUCCAACCAGAAUUCCAGCUGCCGGCAUUCCCCCUCUUCAUUGUAAACCUUGUAAAAUAAGAGAGAAUAGCCAUAAGUAUUGAGAUAUAAUAUGUAAUAACAGCCCAUAAUGUAAUAAAUAUUGAUAUAAAAGCAUGAUGCAAAAUGGAGAUAAACCUGUUGUUGGCAUGCCUGUAGUUUCUGUUAAAAUAGGAUAUCAUUGUUAUCAUGGCUUAUGUGAUGUGUGUGCUAGUGUGAGUGCAAUUCCUGUAGUUUCUCUAUUACUAGCGCUAACCUUUCAGAGCAUGGAGAAAAGAAAUUAUUGAGAACUCUAAAGAAGCACCGUGCCGCUAUUGGAUAUACUCUUGAUGAUCUUAAGGGCAUUAGUCCCACUCUAUGUUAGCACAAAAUAAAAUUGGAGAAAGAUGCUAAACCAGUUGUUGAUCAUCAACGACGGUUUCCUAAGAUGAAAGAAGUGGUAAGAAAUGAAAUAGUAAAGCUUCUGGAGGCAGGUAUAAUUUAUCUUAUUGCCGAUAGUCAAUGGUUAAGCCAUGUUCAUUGUGUCGCUAAGAAGGGAGGUAUUACUGUUGUUUAAUGAUAAGAAUGAAUUGAUUCCACAAAGAAUUGUUACAGGUUGUAUAAUGGUAAUUGAUUUUCGCAAAUUGAAUAAAUCUACUAGAAAAGAUCAUUACCCUCUACCUUUUACUGAUGAAAUGCUAGAAAGACUAUCCAAACAUACUCAUUUUUUGCUUUCUAGAUGGUUAUUCUGGUUUCUCUCAAAUACCUGUGUCAAAAGAUGAUCAAGAGAAAACCACUUUUACUUGCCCUUCCGGUACCUUUGCUUAUAGACGUAUGCCUUUUGGUUUAUGCAAUGCACCUACUACCUUUCAAAGAUGUAUGUCGUGGAAUUGUCACGGCAGAUGCCCUAUCAUGAGGACUUAGGUGUGGAGCCAUCGCAGCAUAGUUAGCUUGAAGGGGUUAAAUGGGACAAUGGACACAGAGAGUUUUACCCAAGCUCGGCCCCUCGCAACGAGGUAAAGGCCUACUCCUACAUUAGGUUGUAUUGAUUGGGUUUCAAUUACCGGGGAGCGAAUGCGCUUGACCUAGUUCUCGACUUGUUAUUUCUUGCCCUAACCCAACACUGGGUUACCCCUUUAUAUACAUAGGCUGCUGUCCGGCGGCUUAUAGAGUCCUGGCCUGGCUCAUACACAAUGUGUCGGCUCGGUGACAAACUAAACUUUCCUUAACAUACAAGUUAUACAUAUGGCGGUUUAUGCCCGUGGGCCUCAAGUCUCCUCCGGGUCAUGGGCCUUUAGUAAGCUUGCUUCAUGAACCGCCAUCUUCAACAUCUUCUUGGGCCUUCUCAUUAUGAACCGCCAGUGGUAUGACCCAGCCCCUCCUGGGCGGGUCAUACCCAAUAGUUAUAUCACCAACAUUAGGCACCAGGUUGAUGUGAACUUGUUCACAUCAAACUUCAAUGCUUGACUUAGAAAAAAAUCCUUCACCGUUAGUCCUUAUGAAAUCUAAUAACCCGCCAUGACGUCAGCUCUCAGAAUUGUGCUAACCCUCCAUGAUGUCAUCUUGCAUUAAUAUCAUACUAGGCCCAAAUCUCAAUAUACCUUCACUUUUAAUAAACCUCCCGAAAUCGAGGCGUCUGUGCUGUCACAUAAUCAUUUUUUCAGCCUCCUUGAUUCCCGCGCAUGCCAUCUAUCCACUUCCUUAUAAAUAGGGACAGGGGUCCUUUUUAUUUUUUCCCUUGCCUCCUCGUCUUCGUCCUCUUCCUCUCGACACCACAUGCGCUCGAGCUUCGCUGCACCAACUCUGGUCGCUGCAUCAUCCUGAACGAACCAAAGAUCCACGACGCACCUUCGCUAUCCAUCUGCGUCGAGUAAGUUCAACUUUACCCCAACACAGAUCUGCCAUUAGGGUUUUUACUUGUUCGUCUGUGUUCUUUGAUGUUCUUCGUUUUUCCCUCUAGAUCGAGUAGCCUUUGAUCUGUAUGUGGCACCAAAAUUAUGUGGUAGCAACAUGGCCCUCAUUUUAAUAUAUGAAUACCUCCCCUUCGUAGAAGAUCUCAUCUAAGCAUAUGCACUUUGCUGCUGCCGCCAUCUUAGGUUUAGGUUUUUCUUCAAUUUCUGAAUUGCUGUCGAUCCAGAAUUAUAACAUCAAUCUGUGGAAACUGUUUGUCCAACACUUAGCAAUCCUUCACUUAUAGAUCUGAAAACUGAUAACUGUGUCGGUGGAUUAACUGAUAAACCAUAACCCGCCAGGUAGCAUUAGUCCCCUCUUAAGCCGCUAGUAGAUUGCUCUGCAUAAUCCAACACAUUACCCUCCGGCUUAACACAGUGCAGGUUUAUAGUUCUUACCUUUGAACCAAUGUCCGGCUUAACAACAUAAUCUUAAACCAGCAAUAUUUUCUUUGACCUUCACCUCAUGCAACUGGGUAGCAUCCCGGGUUACCGAGGAAGACCUGAACAAUUCUGUUCAAACUGGUGUCUUAUCCAAAAAAGACGACAUCCACUGGAGGGUCCCAAGCACUAAAAAUCCUCCUGAGCCCAAGGAAGGAGAAGUAACCAUUUUCACUGACCAUAUGAUCCCGGGGUUUACCCCGCCCGAUACAAAAUUCUUUCGAGAUGUGUUACACUUUUCCAGCUUCAUCCUCAAGAUAUCGGGCCCAAUUCUGUCUCCAACAUUUGCAACUUCCAAGUUUUUUGCGAAGCUUAUCUUCAAGAAGAGCCCACUGUCGAACUGUUCAAGGAGUUCUAUUACUUGAACCGGCAGAAAAAAUUCACAUAUGGGCCCAGCUUAGAGCUAGGCGGAGUUUCAAUCCAGAAGCGGAAGGACGCCACCUUCCCAUAUGCCAAGCCACCCAGUCAUCCUAAGGACUGGAACCAGACUUGGUUUUAUUGCGAAGAUACGUCUCCAAAGGGUGAAAAUCCCCUGCUAGGUUACCGUGAACACCGGCUCAGCAAAACACAUCGACUCCCAGAGCGAAUCAGCACGAAGAAACAGGUUAAGUAUGCGUGCACUUUUUCAAAAAUCAGAGCCUUCAUAGCUAACGGUUUAACCGGCAUCGACCUUGUUCGAUGCUGGGUUACCUGGAGGAUUCUUCCCUUAAGCUGCCGCCUCGGCUUAAUGUGCGAGUACACUGGCGAUUUGAAAGAUCCACAACUCCACUCCGAGAUUCAAUUAUCUGACGCAGAAAUCAAUGAUCCAACCAAGGCUUUAUUGAAUGAAAGCUUGGUAGACUGCAGUAAAACCAGACUUAGUACUUUCUGCACCUUCAACCAGCCGCCAGCUAUAAGUUUUGCACAUAUUUUUUCAAUUGAAUCAUGCUUUCAUUAACACUAUCCUCUUAUAAUCAUCUGACUUCCACAGGCCGAUUCUCCCUUUGGGAAGAAGAAGCUCCAGGACAAGCCGGCCAAGAAGACCCGGAACAAGACCAAGGCUAACAAAAAGCCUGCCAAGAAGAAGACCGACCCCUCUGAGUUACUUGACUUGGAUGAUGAUGGUGAUGGUGAUGAGUCGGAGGUAGAACUUGAUUCUCUUGGCUCAUUUUUUGUACAUCUCAUUGACAAUGACUAUUAUCAUGAUGAAGUGGAAGCCAGUCGUGCGGGCGACGAAGAGGUAAUUGUUCUUUCCUUCGGCUCAGAAUCUCUGCCAAAAUAGAAAACUCGACAAGCAAGCCGGAAAGUAAUGUUUUCUCAUCCUUUGGCUUAUUUGGAUCCCAACUUUAUUUUCAAGAAGCAGCAACAUGAAGCUCGCCGCAUAACCCAGAAUAGCGGAGGCGGGAUCCUUUCCUCCGGCUUACCAAACACUCCAGCUCCCCGCAAGCAUCGUCUAGAGGUUUCAACAAUUCCUUACUUAACUUAUCCCAAGGCGGGUCUUUUUCAACAACCUCUUAAUCCUUCCGACUUAAAUUACCAGGGAACGUCUCAAUCCUCCUCUGGCGACUCAACGGGGACUCAUAUCCCAGUCUUCAAGACUGUGCCUGGGUAAGAAUAUUAAAUCUCUGCUUUCAAUCAUGUACUCAAUUGUUGUGUUAACCUCAUCUUUUGUUUCAUUCACAGAGCUAUGUCAAAGCCCAGCAAGAAGAUGAAGGUGACAAAAACGAUUGACAACCCUUCUGAACUGGAGAAGCAGUCAACAGACACUUCCUAACACGCCCCUGAAGCCACAGCUGAUGAGCCGCCUUUGGAAGAGCACAACAUCACCAUAGAUCAUAUGGAUGUUGAUCCAGUCACCCACAAGCCGCCAAGUCCCAUCAAACCACCAAGUCCCAUGAAGCCUACUGAAGAAAAGGCUGAUGAUGUUAUCAUCACUGGGCUUGGUAAUACAGCGCGGGGUAAUCCCAAUGUCUUGUCAAAGCACAACGCCAAGGAAGAAAUUUUUGUUGCUGACAAAGGCAAGUGGUCAGUCAAUUUAGAGAGCUAUGCUCACUACAGUGCUCAGGAGAUCCACUCUGAGUACUUGAACCGUCUGCACACAAGUCGUGACUUCGAGGCCGGCUUAGUGAAUCUCAUGAAGGAACACUUUGAGGUAAACACUAGACUUCUUCAUAUACACAUACUUUAUCAGCCGCCAAGUCUACAGGAUAUGACAGAAUUGAAUGCACUAUAGACUUUAGAUAGCCUUUAGAUCAAAUCCAGUAGCCCCCAAGGGCUGGCUUGUACUUUCAAGAUAAGCAGGGACUUCAAAUAAUAAUGCUUUAACUUUGCACAUGUAGCCCCCAAGGGCCGGCUUAAUCUGUCAAGAUAAGCCGGGACUUUCAAUAGUAAUGAUUCAAUUUUGCACCAGUAGCCCCCAAGGGCUGGCUUAAUCUGUUAAGAUAAGCCGGGUCUCAUUACCAUAGUUUUCAAUAAAAUCCAAGUAUAUAGCCCCCAUGACUCGGCUAUAGUCACCAUAGUAUAUCCGAGUCAUUAGGAAAUUGUCUUUAAAAAGAGCAAUGUGCAUUAGCCCCAAGUGCCAAGUGAAUUACUUGUAUUGUGCUUGGGACGUUUAAAUAAGAUGAUUGUAACCCCGCCUAUUGUUUGCAUCCUACAGGCUGAACUCAAUGUCAAAGAAUCCCAAGUCAUCAAUCUUCAAGAGAAUAUCAAGUCUCAAUAAUCUGAAACCUCCAAGGCCAAAUCUGAAUUAACCACUGCCUUGCCAGAGAUGGAGAAGCUGAAGAAGAAUUUCAAGGAUGACCAAGCAGGCUGGGAGAUGGAGAAAACAUCUCUGUUGAAGAGAGCAGAAGUAGCAGAAGUAGCCCUUAAACAAGUGGCGGAAGAGCUUGCCGGUUUAAAACAUCAAAUAAAUACCAUGACUGUUGCCAUCUUCGGUAAGUAACUUUAUCUCAAUUUGUUACUACCAAUGCAUUGUAAUAAUCAUUCAUCCAUCUUAUAGAUUUACUUGGUAAUGCAGGCUCCAGAAUCGCCCAUCUUGGCUCAGACAUGCACAAGAAGCUGAAAGCCGUCUAUACGCUUAUAGAGCAACUGUACACUGGCGCGCAAUGAGCUAUCUCUGCUGCCUCACACAAAAAACAACCGCCAACCCUCAUCAAGGACACGCUGGAGAAGUUAUUUGUGCUGCCCCAAUGGGUUGAGGAACUUAAACGAUCAGCUGCAAGAGCCGGUGCAAUCACCGCACUAACCCGGGCCAAGGCGUGGCAAGCAGAUCUUGACCCGGAAGACUUGACCAAUGGCUACCCCAGUGUAAAGGGGACGGGUCUCCCUUCAUUGCUAAGGACUUUGCUUCAAUAGCAAGAGAAAUGCGUCAUUUAGAAAGCAAAUUAGCUGAAGAUACCGACAUGUCCCAUUAUCAGGCGGUUUAUGAUGCUGACAACAAGAAGGUUAAAGCAUCGACUCAUGAAUCCCAGGACCUUAUUCAUCCAAUUCAUAAGCACACUUUCACCCCUGACAUUGACCCGUCAACACUUAUUGGUGACGAGGUUGUAUUCAAAGCUUUGACUGGGAUCAAUUGGGCAACCUCUGAUUUCCAGCCAAUGGGUGAAGAGGAAGACGAUGAACCGGUGCAAGAUGAACCGUAAUCCUCUACCCACCAAGGUCAAAAUCAGUAAUCCGAAGGCCAGCUUAACAUCUACCAUUUGAAAUACUUCACCAAAACACUUAUUCUUUGGGGCCAUCUGAUGCCUUGUAAUAUGCUAGUUUGAAAAGAAUGAUCUACCAUGCCAUCUCGCGUGUUGAUUUGCAUAACCCUUAUGAGCCGUUUGAUCUUAUUUGACGAUCCACUGUUUAUGCUCAUAAUCAUCUUCAACUUUGUUGAUCAUGUUGUCAUACACCCUUCAUACAAACAGAGCACAAGUCCCUUGGCGGUUUACCCCACGGCGGGUCAUAAUGCCCCAUAUAAAAAGACCACUGGCGACUGCAUCAUCCAUAACCAUGGCCGGUUUAUCAAAACCUCAUAUAAUCAUAACAAAAUAAAUAUCAUACUUGUGAUACUUAUGCGUAUUGUCGGCUUACCAUGCUACAUGCAGUAAGGGUAAUGGCCCACACUCAGAGCGCAUCGCUUUGUGCAAGUUAUUCGUACUGCCGGCUUAAAACGCCAUAGAUAGCAAAGGGUAACAUCCCAAAAAAAUUAGAGUACAGAACUCCAAACAUAUGAUCAUCAUAUACUGGCGACUUAACAUCCAAAGCCAGGAUGGUUUAGCAAAACACCGGAUAUUUUCAAAUGUGAAUCAUAAUGAUUAAGGCAACAUGGCCCAAAUCAACUUUCAACCAUAUAUCAAUAUGGUACAAACAGAAAUUAUACCACAACCAAAAGUCUGAAAAGCUGAGAAGAACGAAGAAAUGCAAAACUCCACUUCCGAAGAAAAGGAAGAAUUAUUUGCACUUCGAGAUGCGAGAAGAAAAGAUACUUGAGCUUCAUCUACAAGAAUCUUGAUGAACACUUGAAGAAUGAACUAAAUCAUGACGAGCCACCGUGAAGAACUCCGGUAACAAAAGGAUGACGAUGUAAAAUUGAAGGAUGCAAGGGAUAAUAUUGAAGCCUUGCGAUGACUUGGAUGGAGGUUCCGAUGAGAUGGCCAAGGAAACUUUGAACUCCGGGAAAGAAAAGAUGAAAACACUUGAAACUAGAAUUUAUCCAUCAGGAACAAACUCCGAAGGAAGGGAUUACCCACUUGGAUGAAAUAAGAAUAAGAUUUAUUGUAUGCUUAUCCUUCAUCAAAUUAAAUUGACGACAAGCAAUGGAUUUUUCAUACUACUUAUUCUUGUUGAAAAAGAUUAAGGAGAAUAUGGUGCAAAACUUGAGAAAGUCUUCAUGAACCACCGGUAGGAUUUGGAAAGAAUGAAUGGAUUAAAAUGAUAAUCAAAGAAAAAGAAUCUUGAACGAACCACCGUAAGAAUUAGAAAAUGAUUGAUGAAAGAGAAUGAAUCACUAGGAAGAAUUAGAAGAACAAAUAUGCUUGAGGGGAUUUAGAUGCAAAAGAACGAAGAAAUCACGAGCUGAUUAAAGAACACUUGAACGAAGCACCAGGAUAAAUAGAGAACGAUAACUGGAAUGAUGGCCUCCGAUGAAAAGAAACGGGAAAACAACUUCUAACAUACUCCGGAUGGGUAAGAAAAAGGAAUAUCUGACAAAUGGAAUAAUUCGAGAGGAUAACAAGAAGCUAGAACCAUGAAUAUUCGAGAGAAUGGACAAGAUUUAAGAGGAACUCUUCUUCAAUCUUCAAAUGACGACGAGAAACACCACCAAAAUUGUUAAGGCACUCCGAGGGAACGAAAAGCAAAGAGGUUGAGGCAACAAUGAGAAUGAUUUGAAAUUGAUCUUGGAAAAGAUCUGACUGAUGAAAUUCAUACUUACGUCAAACUUCGAAAUGGAUUUGAGAAUGGCUCUGGUAAAUUAGAAGAGUCAGGUAAGAUCCUGGGAAAAGACCUGUGGGUUAGGGCCCACUAAGGAGAAAAAACACCGUUGGAAAGGGAUGUUGAACAAGUAGAUGAUGCACUGAAACAAUUGAAAUAUUUGAAUGAGGUGACAACCUCGAAUUAAUUGGAACAAAGACGAAUCUCGUGAGAUGUCUUGAACACUCCGGAAGGAUAAACUGGCGAGAGGCGAAUGAGCAGGGAAAACACUUGAGCCGAGGAAAAGAAUAUAAUCACUACCGAAAAUUAGAAUUGAAUCCACCGGAGAAGAAAAAGAGAUGAAGAAUGCCAAAUGAGAUGAGAAUUCACCGGUUGAGAUAAUUUACUAAAGACUGAAGAGGUUCCGCACGAAUGAAAUUGAUGCUCGAAAGAGACUCAGGAUCCGGGAAGAAGAGGGUGGGAGGGUGGGAAAACAAAGGAAACUUGGAAGGGGAAACCGACGAAUAUCUUGAAGAGAAAACACCGGUUGAAAUCAUUGAGGAAAGAAAGCAAAGACUUCUCACGAGUAGGAUGGAUACUCCAUUACGGACUCCGACUCCGAGAUGAAAAGGGUGAGUGGGUGGGAAAAGAAGACAACUGAGGAUUGAACUUGGCAAAGAUGAAGAGGCUCGGGUCAACUUGACGAGAAAUGCACCGGAUGAAAAGAGCUGAAAACCCACGAACGAAAAAAACUAAACGUGUGAUCCUAAAGAAAGUUUGAAAGGGAAGAGGAGUAAUUCAAAACACCUACGUCAAGAUUCCUCACCAGAGCGACAAAGCGGCUGAGGAGUAAAAAGAAUUCCUACUCUCCGAUAUAACUAGACUCCGAAAACAGUUUUUUUUCUAGACUCGACAACGGCCAAACUACACAAUCAAUCAAGGGGGCUCCUAAGGUUGGUCGAGGCUCUGAUGCCAACUUGUCACGCCCAAUAUGCGACCCUAUCCAAAAGGAACUCGAAGGUCCCACCAAGGAUAGACCGGCAUAUUGAAACGCUUUUGCAAGGUGGAUAUCAUUACAUCAACAUUACAUAACAGAUGGGGAUACAUACAAAAGGCAUACAAUGCCACACGAAUACAACUUCACAAUACAUAAGAGCAACAUCCGACUACGGAUGAAACACAAACAGAAACUCGAAUGACAUCCACCCUGCUAGUCCAGGCUGCCGACCUGGAACCUAUCCCCUGAUCGAAGGAGAAGCAGAAGAAGAACUCCAAGACAAGCACACAUCGCUCUCGCGUCAAGACCAUCGCAUAACUUGUACCUGCAACUGUUGUUUUAGUAAUCUGUGAGCCACGAGGACUCAGCAAUCCCAUUACCAUGGGUAUCAAGACUAGCAAAGCUUAAAGGGUAAGGAAAGGGUAAAGUGGUGAGGUUGCAGCAGCGACUAAGCAUAUAUGGUGGCUAACAUAUGCAAAUAAGAGCGAGAAGAGAAGAAAAGGAACGGUCGUCAACUAGUAAUGAUCAAGAGGUGAUCCUGAACUCCUACUAAUGUCAGACAUAACCCAAAACCGUGUUCACUUCCCGGACUCCGCCGAGAAGAGACCAUCACGGCUACACACGUGGUUGAUGCGUUUUAAUUCGGAUCUGGUGUCAAGUUAUCUACAACCGGACAUUAACAAAUUCCCAUCUGCCAAAUAACCGCGGGCACGGCUUUCAAAAGUUCAAACCCUGCAGGGGUGUCCCAACUUAGCCCAUGAUAAGCUCUCGCGAUUAACGAAGGAUAUACCUUCUCCCAGGAAGACCCAAUCAGUCUCAGAAUCCCGGUUUACAAGACUUUUCGACAAUGGUAAAACAAGACCAGCAAAGCCGCCCAAUGCACCGACAAAUCCUGAUAGGGGCUGCACAUAUCUCGUUCUCAGGGCACACCGGAUAGGUCAGCCUACGAGUAAAACCAACCCUCGAGUUGCCCCGAGGUGGCCCCGCAGUCUGCCCGUUUCGGACCAACACUCGAAGGAGCACUGGCCCGGGGGGGUUAAAUAAAGAUGACCCUCGGGCUCCGGAAACCCAAGGCAAAAAGGGCUAGGUGAGGCAAAUGGUAAAACCAAGGUUGGGCCUUGCUGGAGGAGUUUUAUUCAAAGCGAACUGUCAAGGGGGUCCCAUAAAUCACCCAACCGCGUAAGGAACGCAAAAUCCGGGAACAUAACACCGGUAUGACGGAAACUAGGGCGGCAAGAGUGGAACAAAACACCAGGCAUAAGGCUGAGCCUUCCACCCUUUACCAAGUAUAUAGAUGCAUUAAUUAAAUAAGAGAUAUUGUGAUAUCCCAACAAUAAUCCUGUCCACCAUGGAGCAAUCUUCAACUUCACCUGCAACUAACACCGCUAUAAGAGGGGCUGAGCAAAGCGGUAACAUAGCCAAACAAUGGUUUGCUAGGAAGGGUUACAAAGGUUAGAGGCUGACAUGACAAUUUGGGGAGGCUUGAAGAGCAAAAGAUAGGUAGCGCAGCAAAGCGAUAGAACGAAGCAACUAGCAUAGCAAUGAUAGUAAUGAGAUCCAAGGUGAUGGUCAUCUUACCUGAAAUCCCGCUAGGAAUAAGAAUGACUCCAUGAAGAAUACGAACGGAUGAAGCCGAACCAAGCGUAGACGAACGAAUCCUCACGAUCGCAACGAAACGGGAACUAUCGAGAAGAAGCACACCACAUGGUAAACACACCACACAUGAACAAGGCAUGAUGCUCAACCAAGUAUGAUGCAUGACAAAGCUACAUGAAGCUACUCAUGGCAAGAGAUGAUGCAUACAAGACCAACACAUCAAAGCAAGUUAAAAUGAGGCCAAAAACAACAUAUAACAAUUCCGGUAAGUCCUCAUAUGCAAGUUUCAAAGUUGGUCCAGAUCUGAACAAAAAUUAAGUUGAAGUUGUUUAAUAGCAAGUUAAGAUGAACCAAGAUGAUCUACAUGAGAUUCUAGUCAAGUUACAUAGAAAGUUCAUUUAGUUCGGAGCUACGGCCUAGAAGAUAUGAGCAAAACAAGUUAAGCAUGGCAUUGAUGCAAAAUGCAUACAAACAUCAAGCAAACACCUCAAAACAAGGAUGCAACAUGAUAAUAUAGAGCACACUCAAAAUCAAGCAAGUUUCAUAUAGAGCACACUCAAAACGGAGCAACGGUUCAACACAUACACUCUAUACAAGUUUAAAGGACAAGCUGUCCAAGACAGCAACUAGGCAUAUUACAAGCAUCAAAACAAUAUGCUACAGCACCUCAACAUAAGAACAAAAGGCAUGGGCAUGAAGUACAGGUAAAGCAUGACAAAACAUGAACACUGAGCUAACUCCAGAAACUACUAGAACAUGCUCAAAAGGACAUGGCAAGAUUGCAAAUAAUAACAGUUUCAGAGUUAGCAGAAAAUAACAUCAGGUUGCAAUGUUUAGAGCUAUCAAAAAACAUGUUACAGGAACUUAACAUGGCAAAAAAAUGCAUGGCAUGAAUCUACUAAUAGCAUAUAAAAAAAGUCCCUUACUGACCAUGAGCCAAAAGAGCACAGAAAAUAUGAUGGCACCCAUGUAAACAUAGAAAGUGAUAUGACAGAUUCAUACAUGGCAGGAACAACAAUAAGUAGGCAUAUUGGUGAGCUUGAACCACUCACCACAGAGCAAUUCAUGGAAUGAAAAGGUAACCAACCGUAAGAAUACAUGUUUAUAAAGCUAAGCACGGCAAGAGCACGUUCAUAGGGUGCAUGCAUAACUAACAAUAAUCAUGGCAACAUUGAACUUAAUGUUAACAGGCUGACAACAACAUUAUUUAGCAUUUUUGAGGGCAAGAUAACUGUCAGGACCCCGACUCAAUGCCACAUCAAUCUAGCAUGUAACACGUCAUAUAACUUUGCCGCCUCACGCACGGUAUUUCCACGGGUGUUGCCUUACCUUUGCCCGGGACCGUUUGCGUCUUUUGGCACACGUAUAUGAUAGUGUCGCUAGCAUCCAUAUGAUAAGGAGCCCGGGCUGACAUGGCUAGUCGUAAACCCAAAGUGGCACAAACUUACAGGGACAGGCAUCCAUGACCCAGCAUCGAACGUGUCGGUCAUCAGCGAGUGAAUCCAGGCUGUAGCACUGGGCUAGCAGGACUCCGGUGAACCGGGCUGUAGCGGGCUAACAGGACUCCGGUAUUCAUCGCGUGACAUUUCCCCGAAGGGACAGACACAGGAACGAAGAAGGACACAUGCCGGUCAGCCUAAGUGUUCUGGAGCAGUAGCAAGCUACCCUGGCUCGGUGGAAACACUAGGAGACAUUUCCCGGUAAGAGGGGCUACUAAGGAUAAACAACUAGAUAGUCAGAUCCCACACAUACCAAGCAUUUCAAUAACAUACACACAAUAUGCUCGAUAUGUGCAAGUACAACAUGGCAUCACAACAUGACUCUACGACACAAGUAUUUAAUCAAUAGGCUCCGAGGAGCGAGAUAUUACAAACAGGGGUCUCACGACCCAACAUUCAGAGCAUACAAAUCAAAGCACAAGCAGAAGCUAUCAUGUCCGGGUACAGACAUCUAUAAAUGGAAAAGGCUGAGAAGCCUGACUAUCUACCAAAUCCUGCCGAGGCACAAGAUCGUAGCUGAGGUAACAAGCUAAACGUCGAGGUCCACGCGGAACUACUAGUGAGACCGAAGUCUCUCUGCAAAAACAUAAAAUAGGCAAACGUGAGUACAAAUGUACCCAGCAAGACUUACAUCAGAACUAACUACAUAUGCAUCAUUAUCAACCAAGGGGAUGGUGGGGUUUAACUGCAGCAAGCCAGCUUUGACUCGGUGGCUAUCCUAAACUACGACUGCAAGUAACUCUUUUGAGGUGGCGCACACGAGUCCACAUAUUCACCAUAUCAAUACACCACUAUGGAUCCGCUCCCGUCUCCCUACGAGAACGCCAUCCAUAGCACUCACACUUAUCUUGCGUAUUUUAGAGUAUCCACUUUCACUUGUCUAUGAACUGAUAUAAGCAACCCAGAAGUCCUUUUCCGCGGACACGGCUAUUCGAAUAGAUGAUGUUAACCCUGCAGGGGUGUACUUCUUCAUACAUGUUUCCACCACUUAGCGUCUGCACACGACAUGUGCUCGGCAGACUUCAAGCGAAAGCCGACGUGGGUGUAGACCACGACCUACCUAAACACUCAAGUCCCUAGUCCAGGUUUAUCGCCUAUUCGGGUUCCAUCCAUGAGGAGAUCCGGCCGGAGUUUCGCUCACAGCCCCAAAUGAUGUGAACAGGGUUCCGUGACACCAAACGGGCGCCUGGUAUACCCGGCCACGUGCCUACCGCAUCACAGCCCACCCCUCCGGUCAGCGCUGCCCACGGCCUCCAGCAUACUACAAACACCAGAAACUACUUGCAACUCCUGGACAGAGGACAAGGGUGAUUAAGAAGUCGAGCGGGGUCAUAUUUCAGGGCCCAAUGUAUGGUAGUAGCUGAAUCAUGGAUCACAAACACAGAACUCAGUUCCUAAGGACGGCUUCAAUGAGACAACCCACCAUGUACUCCUACAUGGCCUCUCACCGCUACCUUUACCAAAUCGUGUUCACACACUUAGCUCACACACAGUAGGACAUGUUCACACGCCUCUGAUUCAUUCCCGAUGAAUCAGGCCUGACUCAACUCUAAGCAGUAGCAGGCAUGACAAACAAGCAAGAAUGAGUAGGCACAACAGGGCUCAAACAACUCCUACUCAUACUAGUGGGUUUCAUCUAUUUACUGUGGAAUGACAGGUCAUGCAAAGGAUAAAGGGGUUCAGCUACCGCAGCAAGUAACAAAUGAUUCGUUGUUGUCCUAAUGCAGUAAUAGAGAGCAGGAGCGAGAGAGUAGGAUUGUAUUGGAAUGAACAAGGGGGUUUUGCUUGCCUGGCACUUCUGAAGAUAACAUUGAGUCUUCAUCAGUGUCAAUGAUCACAACGUCGGAACAUCGUCUACCGGGAGGGAACAGAUACCGGCAACAAAGAAGAAAUACAAUCAAUGCAAUGCACAAUAUGAUGCAUGCUCAUGACAUGGCAAUAUGAAUGUGUUUUGAGCCAAUGCAACUAGCAACAGAUUAAAUGAAGUUGGUUUGAAUACAAGAUUCAAAUUCAAACUCCAUAUGUGAUUAUUCAAAUGCCAUUUAAUUGAUUUGUGCUAAACAGCAGCUAUAAGUUGUUCUAACAUGCAUGAAAACGGUACAGAUGGAUUCCUUGAAUUUUUCUGAUAAUUUUUCAUAUAUAAAUUAUUUAAUUUGGAGUUACGAUUGAAUUUCUAUGAUUUUUAGAAGUUUAUACAAUUUUCUGGAAUUUUCUGAAUAAAAAUAAAUCCAGAAAAUGAUUUAUUGCGUCAGCACUAGGUCAUGCUGAUGUCAGCAGGUCAACUGGGCGCCCCAGGUCAAACCUGACCAGUGGGGUCCACUGGUCAGUGACACUACUAACUAACCGAAUUAGUUAGUGUUAGGUUAAAUACUAAUCUAGGUUAAUUAGCACUAACUAAUCCUAACUAAUAACUAACAGGGGCGGGUCCACACGUCAGUGACUUAGUGGGUUAGCUAAAAGUUAAUUAGUACUAAGCUAAAAUUAGCAGGGCUCUGGGCCCACCUGUCAGUGAAACAGUGGUUAAAAAAAUAGAAAAAACUAAACUAAUUAACAGGGGGCUAGCCCCACCUGUCAUCGACCCAGGGGAGGUCAAACCCCUGGUCAACAGGGCCUAACCCGCCAGCGGUUCGUCGCCGGUGGCAACAGGCGCGGUGGAGGGCUCGGGCUCGCUCCUCCGGCGUCCAAAUGGACGGAGGAGAGCGGCUACGGAGAGCUGGAGCUCACCCGCGCCCGUUUCAGCAAGCAGCAGCAGCAAGGGCGGCCGGAGACGAUGGCCUCGAGCUCGGCAGCGGCGGCCGAAGCUCGGGCGUGCUCGGGUUCGGCGUUACACGGCAUGGCGAGAUCAGCUGAGGGCCUCUACGGGUUACUGGGGUCGUUAGGAGCACUCGGAGGCAACGAGCGCAGGUGGAGGAGCUCGGGAGCACGAAGCUCACCGGCCAUGGCGGACGGCGGCUUCGGGUGCUCGUGGGGCGGCGGCUACAAGGCGCACGCGAGAGAGAGAGGUGCGGGGAAACAACGGCAAGCUCACAGGGAGGCAGCAGGGUGGCUCAGUGGGCUCGGGGACGCGCCAGACGUCGCGAAUCGACGGCGGUGAGCUUCGGUGGCCGGCAACGGAAACGACGACGGUGGCGGCGUUGCAGCACGUCCGGGACCUCGUGGCUCGGUGGAGAGGAAGAGGGGGUCAAGGCGGAGCCUCUGGGCUAGUCGGGGAAGCGAGGGAGGCCCGGUGGCCGUGGUGGCAGUGGACGGCGGCGACGAGCGCGCUCGGGCGCGAGAGGGGGAGAGCAGAGAAGGGAGUAGGGGUCGGGAGAGAGUGAGAGAGAGGAGCGAGGGGGCUGCGUGGCGUCACCCGAAGAGGCCAGGGCGAAGCGGCAAGCAGGAGGUGGCCCGGGGUGGCGUCGGUGCUCGCCACCGAGCAGCUUCGGGGCGAGGGGGAGGAAGACGACAGGGGAGGAGUGGAGAUGGGCUGGGCCGGAAGUGUUGGGCCGUCCAGGUGGGCUUCGGUGAGCGCCAGGUAAGUCCAGGUAAGUUUCUGUUCUGUUUUACUUUUAUUUAAUUCUUUUGCCACUGUUUUGAAUUUAAAAAUAAUUCAAACAAUGCCAAAAGCUCCUCUGAAUAUUUUUAUUUUGCUAGAUGGACUUUUCCAAAAGCUCAUACAAUAUUUCAGGGGUAUUUGAAAUUAUAUUCUUAUUAUAUUAAUAUAAUUCAAAUUCAAAUAGCUAAUGAAUUAAAUUCAAAGUCCCAAAAAUAAAUCCUUUUAAAAUGUUCAUUAUUUUUGGUUUGGAUCAAAACCCUUGCCAAAAAUAUUAAACAUCUAAGAAGAGCAUUUUGGAACAAUGAAUGAGAUUUUAGGGUUUUUGCCCUUCUUUUAUUUAGGGUUUUGAGGCUUCUGAAUUCCUCAGUUCAAGUUUCAAAAAUUUAAACAUGAUGCACAGAUGGAAGCAAGCAUAGGUCAGGCCAGAACUAGGGAUGUGACAACUCACCCCCACUAAACAAGAAUCUCGUCUCGAGAUUCAAGCGUAGGGUAAGAUGAAGGGGAAACACAAACUAGUAUAAUCUUCACGAUCCAGGGUGCACUUCAAAUGAACGUUGAUUCGAUCACCAUCAUUAUCUUGAUGUCUUGCUCCAAGAACUCCAACCGACAAGACAACGAGAGGAGAAAGAAAACUCUAGAAGGAUCAAUCUUCUCGAAGACCGAACAACUCAGGAUUAACUCUCGGGAUGAGACAUAGCAACAUCUCUUGAGCGGAGAGACGAAGCACACCUCUAGAGGGAUGGAGUGGAACAGAUGACAAGGGCUCACUAGGUAGACAACAAUCCCACACCUAAGAAGGUGGUAAACGAUUGUCAACGUAGCGAGGAGUUGAGUUGCCAUGAUACCACGACGAAACAUCCUGGAGGAGGGUGAUUCAUAUAUUAUUACCUUAAGUGGCAAAAAGAAUUACCUUUGAUAUAGAGAUCAUUGAGACUCUCUAUAUCAGCCUAAGGCAAAUCACAACAAUCCAUUGGCGGGGGUCGGUAGAAUGGCAUACUCGGACUUGGAUGAUGUGGAUUACCUUGUUGAAGACAACGUAAUGGAUGAAUUUGCUUAUCACCGGAAAUGGAAGAGACCCAUGGUAGAAUGGCACAUUGGAGGUGCAAGCUAGGAACAACAUGCAAAUGCUGGGAAUGGUUCUGGUAACUGGGGAAGAACCCAACAAUAGAGAGUGAAUUCACUGUUUGAAAAGGUCGUAGUAUUGCCGAGGAAACUGAGAGCAAUCCAGUUAGUACCGAUGAUAACACCUAGCGCUUGUGCGUGCUCUCAAGAACUUGAGCAUUUCCACAAUCAUCAAGGUUUUACCAACAUCCGUGUCAAGGAUCCUGGCAACACAACGUACUACCAUGAUGGCUAAUGAUGGAUGAUGCAGAUGCAGAGGAAGAUAACACCUUCGCAGAUUUCACCUUAGCGAGGCCAAGGAAACAAAAUCUGGAUGAUCGACCGAGAGACAUUUAGCACUCCGCUUCUAAUGUUCUCCUUGAUGUGCUAGUGUAUCUCAUUCAUAGAUAUGGUUUGAUAUCUAGAACAUCAAGUAAAAGGUCGGACUUCGGGAGCACAAGAAUCCAUAAGGAAUAACUACGGAGGUAAAUCCUGCGAAAUCCUUAUGGGGAGGUGGCCAACUUCCUCAAUCAAGAUACUACAAUAAUGGGUCUUCCGGCUGGGUGUGUUGGCCACGACAUCCAUCUUACCGAUUAUCGAGGGGCCAAUAUUAUAGUUCUUGGGAAAUGUUCCAACCAUCAUAUCUGCCUGAGAUUCAGAUCUGGUUGGUGUCAGGAUAUUCCAGACUCAUCGAGUCUAGGAAGAAAAACGAAAGUUUGCAACACAAAUCGACGAGAUGACGUUGCGAGAUUCUCGGGGAAUGAACUACGAUAGUAAGCUCCAAAACAUGAGCUGGUUCUGCUACAAACAUGCGAACACGCUGUCCCAGACAAACAUGACCACGUGGUAGUCUUAUAAUAAAACACUACCGAGUUCAGGUGGGGAACCAUCAACGAGGAUAUCAAAAUCCUUGCAGAAGGCAUGCUCUUAAGAAGGAACUUCUUCUCCUUGAACAAAUCAAUCAGUGGCUUGGUGUGCUCGGAACACAUAUGGAAUGAAGGUUGCAAGUCUCCGAACCAUAUAAUACUUCGCACAUAUGCAUGACUGACUUGGGAUGAUUCCAGAGGAAGCAAAACUAACUUUCUCAAAUUCACGGCGGCAACUUUCACCAAAUGCACGUGUAUAAGAGGAAGUCACUCCUUUCAUCAAACAAAUACUUCAUGAGCUAGCAUGAAGAAAAUGCUUCAAAAGUUUCCAACACUAACUUGUUGUCCAACAAGACCAUGGAGGAGGUAAGGAUGUUGUCAAUGGGCUCAACAACAAUUCAUCUGGGUUUCCUUUUAAAAGGAAUUCCAUAGUUAAGUGAACAAGUGAUAGCAUUAGUCAGACCAAAGAUGUAAGGGUGUAUGCUCGAGGGAUCAACCACGAGUAAGACAACGUUAUGAAUAUCGUUGGUUCUGAUUUGAUUUGACGAUAGCUCAUACUCAAAUCAAAGAUUGGAUAAGAUAAUAGGUCCAGCAACUGAUCACAGGGACCAAUCGAUGAAGAUAUCAUCUUUCUUCAACACACACUACACAAGAAUAUCCCUUUGGAAUGAACUAAGUCAGGCAAGCUUUUAUCUUCCAACUCUCCAAGUUGUUGUCUAGCUUAACCAACUAGCUCAGGGAUAUCUAACACCGAUUCUUGGAGACAGGGUGGUUCACAAGAAAAACCAACUUGAUCACGAGCUCAACAUAACAGUCAGGUGACAACCUGGUGAUACCUUCGAGAAGAUAUUCGAAAAAUCACGAACCACCGAUAUGUUACUAAGCUCGAGAACAAUCUUGCUUUUUGAGGCAAGACGAUAUGAUCAAUAGAGCGAAGAUUUGAAAUAAUCCUAACUCAUCGAUCGAGGAGUGCACCGAGAACAAGGACUAGGUAGCACAAUCAAUCUUAGAAUGAUGAUUUAAUAACCAACACGCUAAGAAUGAAAUUAUUGUCCUUUAACUACCGAGCAACAAGGUUGCUAGGAGUAUUGAUUUCACACAUCACGGUUCACUUGUCGACAUUCCGGUUACAAUAACACAGGAACUGAGGGAUGAACAAUGAUGGCAAGAAGUAUCACUGUACCAAGAGUUCAUAGGGUGGUGUGCAAUUCCUAUAACAAUCCCGAUAUAAAGAUGGUAAUACUCCAAGGUAGAGCAGAGCAAAAGCAAGAUUAGCAAUUUGAUCUGCGGAGUACGACUCCUUUGACCCAAUCCUGGAAAUGGAAGAGGUACUGGAGUUUGUUUCUCCUAGUCAUUCCGGAUAGAAUGGCUUGACGGACCACAAGAAUAAUAGGCAUCGAUGAACGAACGCACACAUACUCUUGACUAUCAAUUGAUAGACGACGGUCAGUAGACAACUAAAGAGGGACAACUCAAAGGAACAUAUAACUUUCUGAGUUGUGGAUGCAUAGAUUAGUAUGUCGAACCAAGUUCAACAUAAUUCUUCCAGAUAACCCAUGCAGAAAGGUUGAGCUGGCAGAGUCACAAUAUAGCAUGGAGAACUCAUCGAGAGCACUCUUGUUGUCAUCUUUUGGUUCAGAAGAACUUCUGCCAAGAAUGGUUCAUGGUAAUUGGAAGAAGGAUGUACCACAAACCUCGAGGACUAUCGCAAAGGUUACUAAUAUCCUAAAGGAACUAGCAAACCCUAUCAACAUGAAGUAAGUAGAGUGAAUCUCGGGUUCAGAACCCAGGGGUAGAAUGCCUACUACUAAGUAGCACCACGGGAUGCUUUCGAGAAUGAUGGCCAGAAUCUUCACACUGGGAACACAAAACAUUGCUAGAUUACUAGGUGACUCCCUAAAACACCUAGGGUCAUAAUAAUAACUCCAACAUAAAUGUCAAGGCAAUAGAAUACCUCAACUCAACAAUUAGUGUGAUUGAGCUGGCAUAAAGGAACAUCGAAACCAGAGGGAGAGGAUUUUGCAAAUGCAUCAGACUAUUUAGAAACCUGGGAUGACUCGGACAGCAUAACGGCUGUAAAUGCUCAGAAAAGAUUUGAGACAUUCACAAAAAUGGUGGCAUAACCAUUCAGAAGCACAAUAUCAAGGUCUCGAGAUCAUCAGUAACAUACAGAAGUCGUAGGAACUGAACUCAAGCUUAAAUCCAACAAUCUAUAAGUCUACGGAUUAGUAACACAUGAUCCUGAUAGAAAGAAGAGAUAGCCUAGUUCUUAAUCCCCGCAGGAAAGAUAAGAUGACUCAGAUCAGAAGACAUAAGGUAUAAGGAGUAAAAAGAGCCUUACGUUCCAUCCCACAAUCAAUUCCCUUAUAUAACUAAAGAAUUUCUAGACUCAACUUCGACCAGUUUGGCUUGGUAAUCCUACAGGCAGUCAGCUCUGAUACCAACAUUGUCAGGACCCCGACUCAAUGCCACAUCGAUCUAGCAUGUAACACCUCAUAUCACUUUGCGGCCUCACGCACGGUAUUUCCACGGGUGUCGCCUUACCUUUGCCCGGGACCGUUUGCGUCUUUUGGCACACAUAUAUGAUAGUGUCGCUAGCAUCCAUAUGAUAAGGAGCCCGGGCUGACAUGGCUAGUCGUAAACCCAAAGUGGCACAAACUUACAGGGACAGGCAUCCAUGACCCAGCAUGGAACGUGUCGGUCAUCAGCGAGUGAAUCCAGGCUGUAGCACUGGGCUAGCAGGACUCCGGUGAACCGGGCUGUAGCGGGCUAACAGGACUCCAGUAUUCAUCGCGUGACAUUUCCCCGAAGGGACAGACACAGGAACAAAGAAGGACACAUGCCGGCCAGCCUAAGUGUUCCGGAGCAGUAGCAAGCUACCCUGGCUCGGUGGAAACACUAGGAGACAUUUCCCAGUAAGAGGGGCUACUAAGGAUAAACAACUAGAUAGACAGAUCCCACACAUACCAAGCAUUUCAAUAACAUACACACAAUAUGCUCGAUAUGUGCAAGUACAACAUGGCAUCACAACAUGACUCUACGACACAAGUAUUUAAUCAAUAGGCUCCGAGGAGCGAGAUAUUACAAACAGGGGUCUCACGACCCAACAUUCAGAGCAUACAAAUCAAAGCACAAGCGGAAGCUAUCAUGUCCGGGUACAGACAUCUAUAAAUGGAAAAGGUUGAGAAGCCUGACUAUCAACCAAAUCCUGCCGAGGCACAAGAUCGUAGUUGAGGUAACAAGCUAAACGUCGAAGUCCACGCGGAACUACUAGUGAGACCGAAGUCUCUCUGCAAAAACAUAAAAUAGGCAAACGUGAGUACAAAUGUACCCAGCAAGACUUACAUUAGAACUAACUACAUAUGCAUCAUUAUCAACCAAGGGGAUGGUGGGGUUUAACUGCAGCAAGCCAGCUUUGACUCGGUGGCUAUCCUAAACUACGACUGCAAGUAACUCUUUUGAGGUGGCGCACACGAGUCCACAUAUUCACCAUAUCAAUACACCACUAUGGAUCCGCUCCCGUCUCCCUACGAGAACGUCAUCCAUAGCACUCACACUUAUCUUGCGUAUUUUAGAGUAUCCACUUUCACUUGUCUAUGAACUGAUAUAAGCAACCCAGAAGUCCUUUUCCGCGGACACGGCUAUUCGAAUAGAUGAUGUUAACCCUGCAGGGGUGUACUUCUUCAUACAUGUUUCCACCACUUAGCGUCUGCACACGACAUGUGCUCAGCAGACUUCAAGCGAAAGCCGACGUGGGUGUAGACCACGACCUACCUAAACACUCAAGUCCCUAGUCCAGGUUUAUCGCCUAUUCGGGUUCCAUCCAUGAGGAGAUCCGGCCGGAGUUUCGCUCACAGCCCCAAACGAUGUGAACAGGGUUCCGUGACACCAAACGGGCGCCCGGUAUACCCGGCCACGUGCCUACCGCAUCAUAGCCCACCCCUCCGGUCAGCGCUGCCCACGGCCUCCAGCAUACUACAAACACCAGAAACUACUUGCAACUCCUGGACAGAGGACAAGGGUGAUUGAGAAGUCGAGCGGGGUCAUAUUUCAGGGCCCAAUGUAUGGUAGUAGCUGAAUCAUGGAUCACAAACACAGAACUCAGUUCCUAAGGACGGCUUCAAUGAGACAAACCUACAUGGCCUCUCACCGCUACCUUUACCAAAUCGUGUUCACACACUUAGCUCACACACAGUAGGACAUGUUCACACGCCUCUGAUUCAUUCCCGAUGAAUUAGGCCUGACUCAACUCUAAGCAGUAGCAGGCAUGACAAACAAGCAAGAAUGAGUAGGCACAACAGGGCUCAAACAACUCCUACUCAUACUAGUGGGUUUCAUCUAUUUACUGUGGAAUGACAGGUCAUGCAAAGGAUAAAGGGGUUCAGCUACCGCAGCAAGUAACAAAUGAUUCGUUGUUGUCCUAAUGCAGUAAUAGAGAGCAGGAGCGAGAGAGUAGGAUUGUAUCGGAAUGAACAAGGGGGUUUUGCUUGCCUGACACUUCUGAAGAUAACAUUGAGUCUUCAUCAGUCUCAACGAUCACAACGUCGGAACAUCGUCUACCGGGAGGGAACAGAUACCGGCAACAAAGAACAAAUACAAUCAAUGCAAUGCACAAUAUGAUGCAUGCUCAUGACAUGGCAAUAUGAAUGUGUUUUGAGCCAAUGCAACUAGCAACAGAUUAAAUGAAGUUGGUUUGAAUACAAGAUUCAAAUUCAAACUCCAUAUGUGAUUAUUCAAAUGCCAUUUAAUUGAUUUGUGCUAAACAGCAGCUAUAAGUUGUUCUAACAUGCAUGAAAAUGGUACAGAUGGAUUCCUUGAAUUUUUCUGAUAAUUUUUCAUAUAUAAAUUAUUUAAUUUGGAGUUACGGUUGAAUUUCUAUGAUUUUUAGAAGUUUAUACAAUUUUCUGGAAUUUUCUGAAUAAAAAUAAAUCAAGAAAAUGAUUUAUUGCGUCAGCACUAGGUCAUGCUGAUGUCAGUAGGUCAACUGGGCUCCCCAGGUCAAACCUGACCAGUGGGGUCCACUGGUCAGUGACACUACUAACUAACCGAAUUAGUUAGUGUUAGGUUAAAUACUAAUCUAGGUUAAUUAGCACUAACUAAUCCUAACUAAUAACUAACAGGGGCGGGUCCACACGUCAGUGACUUAGUGGGUUAGCUAAAAGUUAAUUAGUACUAAGCUAAAAUUAGCAGGGCUCUGGGCCCACCUGUCAGUGAAACAGUGGUUAAAAAAAUUAGAAAAAACUAAACUAAUUAACAGGGGGCUGGCCCCACCUGUCAUCGACCCAGGGGAGGUUAAACCCCUGGUCAACAGGGCCUAACCCGCCGGCGGUUCGUCGCCGGUGGCAACAGGCGCGGCGGAGGGCUCGGGCUCGCUCCUCCGGCGUCCAAAUGGACGGAGGAGAGCAGCUACGGAGAGCUGGAGCUCACCCGCGCCCGUUUCAGCAAGCAGCAGCAGCUAGGGCGGCCGGAGACGAUGGCCUCGAGCUCGGCAGCAGCGGCCGGAGCUCGGGCGUGCUCGGGUUCAGCGUUACACGGCACGGCGAGAUCAGCUGAGGGCCUCUACGGGUUACUGAGGUCCUGAGGAGCACUCGGAGGCAACGAGCGCAGGUGGAGGAGCUCGGGAGCACGAAGCUCACCGGCCAUGGCGGACGGCGGCUUCGGGUGCUCGUGGGGCGGCGGCUACAGGGCGCGCGCGAGAGAGAGAGGUGAGGGGAAACGACGGCAAGCUCACAGGGAGGCAGCAGGGUGGCUCAGUGGGCUCGGGGACGCGCCAGACGUCGCGAAUCGACGGCGGUGAGCUUCGGUGGCCGGCGACGGAAACGGCGACGGUGGCGGCGUUGCAGCGCGUCCGGGACCUCGUGGCUCGGUGGAGAGGAAGAGGGGGUCGAGGCGGAGACUCUGGGCUAGUCGGGGAAGCGAGGGAGGCCCGGUGGCCGUGGUGGCAGUGGACGGCGGCGACGAGCGCGCUCGGGCGCGAGAGGGGGAGAGUAGAGAAGGGAGUAGGGUUCGGGAGAGAGUGAGAGAGAGGAGCGAGGGGGCUGCGUGGCGUCACCCGAAGAGGCCAGGGCGAAGCGGCAAGCAGGAGGUGGCCCGGGGCGGCGUCGGCGCUCGCCACCGAGCAGCUUUGGGGCGAGGGAGAGGAAGACAACAGGGGAGGAGUGGAGAUGGGCUGGGCCGGAAGUGUUGGGCCGUCCAGGUGGGCUUCGGUGAGCGCCAGGUAAGUCCAGGUAAGUUUCUGUUCCGUUUUACUUUUAUUUAAUUCUUUUGCCACUGUUUUGAAUUUAAAAAUAAUUCAAACAAUGCCAAAAGCUCCUCUGAAUAUUUUUAUUUUGCUAGAUGGACUUUUCCAAAAGCUCAUACAAUAUUUCAGGGGUAUUUGAAAUUAUAUUCUAAUUAUAUGAAUAUAAUUCAAAUUCAAAUAGCUAAUGAAUUAAAUUCAAAGUCCCAAAAAUAAAUCCUUUUAAAAUGUUCAUUAUUUUUGGUUUGGAUCAAAACCCUUGCCAAAAAUAUUAAACAUCUAAGAAGAGCAUUUUGGAACAAUGAAUGAGAUUUUAGGGUUUUUGCCCUUCUUUUAUUUAGGGUUUUGAGGCUUCUGAAUUCCUCAGUUCAAGUUUCAAAAAUUUAAACAUGAUGCACAGAUGGAAGCAAGCAUAGGUCAGGCCAGAACUAGGGAUGUGACAAUAACAACAAGCUACAACAGGCUAUAAAUGCAACCAAGGGCAUGGAUGGAUAGAUCAUGAUAUGUAUAACAAAUCAUCCUUAGUUAACAUCUCCAGAUUAUGCAUAGAAUGACUUGUAGCGGCAGGUUUACAUAGUAUCAUGAUAUAGCAGAAACAACCUAGCAAAACAACAACAACAAGUUCCCUACUUCACGAGCUCGAUGCACUCGCUACAAGACUCACAAAAAUACAUGGAUUGCACCACUGUGAAUAUGGCAUGGAGGUCGCCGGCGGCGAGGCGAGGAGGCGGCGACCGGCGCGGGUCGCGGUCUUCGGCGGCGGCGGGGAACGGGGCCCGGUCGCGGGGCGCGGGCUGGCGGCGGAUACCGACCGGGCCGGGAGGGCCGCGGCUGGGUUCGGAGGGCCCGCGCGGUGGAGGCGCGGUGGAGACGGCGGCGGUGACACGUGUGUCAGGACCCCGACUCGAUGUCACAUCGAUCUAGCUUGUAACACCUCAUAUCACUUUGCGGCCUCACGCACGGUAUCCCCGCAGGUGUUGCCUUACCUUUUCCCGGGACCGUUUGCGCCUUUUGGCUCACGUAUAUGAUAGUGUCGCUAGCAUCCAUAUGAUAAGGAGCCCGGGCUGACAUGACUAGUUGUAAACCCAAAGUGGCACAGACUUACAGGGACAGGCAUCCAUGACCCAGCUUCGAACGUGUCAGUCAUCAGCAAGUGGGUCCGGGCUGUAGCACUGGGCUAGCAGGACUCCGGUAAACCGGCCUGUAGCGGGCUAACAGGACUCCGGUACUCAAUGCGUGACAUUUCCCCGAAGGGACAGACACAGGAACGAAGAAGGACACAUGCCGUCCAGCCUAAGUGUUCCAGAGCAGUAGCAAGCUACCAUGGCUCAGCGGUAACACUAGGAGACAUUUCCCGGUAAGAGAGGCUACUAAAGAUAAACAACUAGAUAGUCAGAUCCCACACAUACCAAGCAUUUCAAUAUCAUACACACAAUAUGCUCGAUAUGUGCAAAUACAACAUGGCAUCACAACAUGACUCUACGACACAAGUACUUUAUUUAAGGCUCAGAGAGCCAUACAUAACAUACACAUAGGUACGGGUCACACGACCCAGCAUUCAAGUCAUACAGUCAUACAAACUAGCAGCGGAAGUAACUUGUCUGAGUACAGACAACUAGUAAAAUAAAAGAGGCUUGGAAAGCCUAGCUAUACUACGUGGUCCUUCACAAGCUCAGGAUCACCACCUGGGCCUUAGUCUACUCAUUGAUGUCAACGUCUAUGAAGAACCCAUCAGAAGGGGUUGCAGCAUCUUCUGUAAAAUGUAAAUUAUAGCAACAUGAGUACAAAGGUACUCAGCAAGACUUACAUCAGAUCCUACAUACAUGCACAUUAUCAAGAAGGGUUGGUGGAGUUGUUGCAGCAAGCCAGCUUUGACUCUUGGCUAGGCUAUCCUACGAGACUUCAACUUGAAAUGGUUUUGCGCACACGAGUCCACUACUCACCACUUCAAUACACUACCGAGGAUCCACCUCCGUCUUCCUACGGAAGAGCCAUCCUCGGCACUCACACUUAUCUUGAGGCUUUUAGUAGUUUCCAUUUACUUGUCUAUGAACUGUAUAGGCAACCAAGUAGUCCUUUACCGCGGACGCGGCUAUUCGAAUAGAUUAUGUUAACCCUGCAGGGGUGUAAUUCUUCAUACACGCUCUGACCACUUACCGUCGUUUACACGACAUGUACUUGGCAACCUUCAAGCGGAAGCCCAACGUGGGUGUCGGCCACGACCUACCUAAUCACCUAAGUCUCCAAUCCAGGUUUAUCGCCUAUCCAGGUUCCAUCCGCAGGGAGUCCGGCCGAGGUUUCCCAUACGGCCCCGAACGAUGUGUACAGGGGUCCGUGACACCUAACGGGUGCCCGGUAUCCCCGGCCACGUACCUACCGCAUCACAGCCCACCCCUACGGUCAGCGCAGUCCACGGCCUCCAGUAGGCUACAAACACCAGAAACUACUUGCAACUCCUGGACGGAGAACUAGGGUGAAUAAGAAGCCGAGAGGGUCCAUUGGUUUCGGGCCCAAUGCAUGGUAGUAGCUGAUUCUUAAAUCACACAUACAGAUCUCAGUGCUUAAGGUCGACUUCAAUGAAACAACCCACCAUGUACUCCUACAUGGCCUCUCAUUGAUACCUUUACCAAAUCAUGUUCACCACACCACUCUCAUUACCGACAUAAUCAUUUCACUCUAGCCCAUCACCCAGAUGAACCAGACCUGACACGACUCUAAGCAUAGCAGGCAUAGCAAGGUAGGAACAACACAUACAUAUGGCUCAAUCAACUCCUACACAUGCUAGUGGGUUUCAUCUAGUUACUGUGGCAAUGACAGGUCAUGCAGAGGAAGUGGGUUCAACUACCGUAGCACACAGCAGUUUGAAACGCGUUGUCUUAAUGCAGUAAAAGAGAGCAGGAGUGAGAACAUGGGAUUGUAUCGAUAUGAUCAAAUGGUUGGUUGCUUGCCUGAUGGUUCGAUGCACUGAUACGGUUCUUCGUUAGGGUAAUCACGGUACUCCUCGGAAGCAGAACCUGCCGCAAGAACACCGAUACACAACCAUCACCAAACAAUGUGCAACAAUAUGAUGCAUGCAUGAAACAUGGCAAUAUGAGUGAGUUGGGCUAAUGCAACUAAGACCAGAAGGGUUUGAACCAAUUUGAAUCAAAGAUUCAAAUUUCAAAUUCAAACAUGGCCCUUUAAAGUGUUUUUCCUUGUUCUGCAUUAAACAUCAGGUUAACUUGUUUAAUCAUGCAUGAAAAUAGUACAGAUGGAUAGAUUGGAUUUUUCUGAUCAUUUUUCAUAUAUAAUUUGUCUGAUUUGGAGUUACAGAAUAAAAGUUAUGAAUUUUUGAAGUUUAAACUAUAUUCUGGAAUUUCCUAUAUUAGAUUAAAUCCAGAAAAUCAAUUACUGCGUCAGCCUGACGUCAGUGUGACGUCAGCAGGUCAACGGGACACGUCCGGGUCAAACCUGACAGUGGGUCCCGCGUGUCAGUGUGAUUAGAUUAGUUAAAGUUCAAUUAAAACUAAACCUGUUUAAUUAACAGGGCUGGGCCCCACCUGUCAUUGACUCAGGAGAGUCAACCAGGGCCCACCCGUGGUCAAACCCGGGUCGGCCGCACCGGCGUUUAGCCGCCGGCGAGCCCGACGCGGCGGCGGAAGUGAUUUUUGCCGUUCCGGCAACCAAACGAGCCGUGGAGGCCACCGGAGAGGAGCUGAGGUCGAGCCGCAGCUCUUGGUGGAGUCCGUUGGGGUCGGGGUGGCCGGAGUUGGCGCCGGCGACGACUUUGGCGGCCACCGGGGUUCGGCCGAAGUCGAACUUGAGGCAAGAGGGGUCGGUGAGGUGCGGGGAGUAGCUAGUUAGGUGCUACGUGACGCGGUGAGCAUGAUGGACACCGUGGAGUGGUCGGAGGGUGACCGGGAGCACGUCGGCGACGAGCUCCACGGUGGUGGGUGCGGUUGACCUCCGGGAGGUCGCUACACGGCUCGGGAGCAAGAAAGAAGGGAGGGGAAGAUGGCUAAGCUCACGGGGAGUUCGACGAAGCCCUUGGUGCGGCCGGGGACGGACCGGAGCGACGACGGCAUUGAAGGGGAUCUCCGGCGACGGCGGUUCGGUCGAGGUCGAUGCAGUGGGCUCGGGCCUUGCGAGCGCUCGGGGCUCGGCUUGCUCGAAGGAGAGGAGGGUAGCGGAGCUCCUGGACACGGCGGCACGGCGUGGGGUCGACGGAGGGCGUGGCUACGGCGAGGGGGUGGGGGCGAUGGCGUCGGCCAUGGCGGGGGAGCGCGAGAGAGAGGGGUUGGGGGAGAAUGGAGGUGUCCUGCGGGUUCACGGUGCUGCGUGGAGCUCAUCCAUCCACCCCCGAGGCGAGGAGGUGGAGCAGGGCGGCAGCCAGCUGCGUGGCGCGCGCUGCGGUCGCCAUCGGGCACCUGCCUGCCUGCCUGGCCGGCAAGCAGCUCGCUGGAGCGGCGCUGGGCUGGGCCGGCAGGUGGGCCGGGUGCUGGGCGCCAGGUAAGUUUUUUCUAUUUUUUUUCUGUUUUCUGUUUUUUAAUACUUCUGCAACUUUGUUGAAUUAAUAAAAAUACUUAGGCAACUCCUAAAAUCACCAAACUACUCCUGGUCCAUAGUUGGAUUAUUUCCAACAUGAAACAUUUUAGUUUGGAGAUAUUUGGGCAUUUGAAUAUUUUAUAUAAUUUUAAAUACCCAAAUUCAAAUAUCUAUGAUUUAAUUCAAAGACCCUAGGAUGUCCUAGGAAAAUGUGCAUCACUUUUGUCAGGGGUUCUGAACCAGGACAAGAAUGAUGGGCAUUUUAGAAGGGCAUUUCAGGUUCAUUGAAAAAAAGGUUUUAGUAAACCCUAGUUGGUUUCAGAGGGGGUUGGGGGUUCUGUCAUCCCCAUUUCAGGUUUCUGGUGAAAGAAUAAACAUGAUGCAACACUCUAAUGCAUGACUAGCUAGGGUGUGACAACUCACCCCCACUCAAAAGAAUCUCGUCCCGAGAUUUGGGUUCCUCCGGAAAGAGGGCGGGGUACUCGAGUCGAAGACGAUCCUCCCUUUCCCAAGUUGCUUCAUCCUCAGAAUGGUGCGACCAUUGAACUUUGAGAAACUUGAUAUUAUGACGUCGAGUGGUACGCUCGGCCUGAUCGAGGAUACGAAUGGGGUACUCUCGAUAUGUGAGAUUAUCUUGGAGAUCAAGCGUUUCGUGGUCCACUCCACGGAUAGGAUCCGAGAAGCAACGCCUGAGUUGAGAAACGUGGAAGACAUCAUGGACUCUGGAGAGAUGCGGAGGUAGUUCCAACUGGUAGGCAACUUCUCCUCGUUUAGCGAGAAUGCGAAAAGGUCCAAUGUAACGAGGAGCCAAUUUGCCUUUGAUACCGAAACGAUGGGUUCCCUUCAGAGGGGUAACCCGAAGGUAAGCCUUCUCGUCGACCUCAAAAGUCAUAGCCUUAUGUUUUCAGUCAUAUCGACUCUUUUGACGAGAUUGGGUUGUUUUCAACUUUUCAUGAACGAUGCGAACUUGCUCUUCUGCUUCCUGAAUCAUAUCCGGGCCAAAGAAUUGUCUUUCCCCGUUUUCUGACCAGUUAAGGGGUGUUUGACACCGUCGUCCAUAGAGAACUUCAAAAGGGUCUUUAUCCAAGCUAGAUUGAUAGCUGUUGUUAUAAGCAAAUUCGGCAAAUGGAAGGUAUUUCUCCCACUCCAUUCCGAAUGAGAUAACAGAGGCUCGAAGCAUGUCUUCUAGGAUCUGGUUGACGCGUUCCACUUGACCGCUUGAUUGAGGGUGGAAGGCGGUGCUAAAAGAGAGACGGGUUCCCAUAGCAUUUUGGAAACUUUCCCAAAAUCGAGAGGUGAAAAGACUUCCUCGAUCCGAGUUAAUUUCCAAAGGAACACCAUGGAGAGACAUGAUUCGGGAGAUGUAUAAGUCUGCCAACUGACUAGCGGUUAUACUCUCACGAACAGGUAAGAAAUGGGCUACCUUGGAAAGACGAUCGACCACGACGAAGAUAGCAUUAUUCCCUUUCUUGGUCCUGGGUAAACCGGUAAUGAAAUCCAUAUCAAUUUUAUCCCAUUUCCAUUCAGGAAUGGCUAGGGGUUGAAGGGUGCCAGCAGGCCGUUGAUGCUCUGCUUUUACACGACGACAGACGUCGCAAUUAGCAAUAUACUGAGCAAUUUCUCUCUUCAUCCUAGUCCACUAGAACCUCUGGCGUAGGUCCUGAUACAUCUUAGUACUACCGGGAUGAAUGGUGAGAGGAGAUUCAUGAGCUUCCUUAAGGAUCAAUCGUCUCAGGUUUCGCACCUUGGGAACCACUAGUCGAUUCCCGAAGUAUACGACCCCUUGAUCAUCAAUGGAGAAACAAUUUGCAACUCCUUUCUUGAUGUUUCUCUUGAUGCGGGAAAUUCCCGGAUCUACCUUCUGUGCUUUGAUGAUCUGAUCCGUAAGGGUAGGUUUCGCCACCAAGGUGGAGAGAAAACCUUGAGGAACAAUGUGAAGGUUAAGCUUCCGAAAUUCUUCAUGGAGAUGCAGUUGACUUUGUUCUAACAUCAGGUUGUUACAAUAAGAUUUACGACUUAGCGCAUCAGCCAUGACGUUGGCUUUCCCUGGGGUGUAAGUUAUUCCUAAGUCGAAAUCUGUGAUCAACUCAACCCAACGUCUUUGCCUGAGAUUCAAAUCCGGUUGGGUGAAGAUGUACUUUAGACUUUGGUGAUCAGUGAAUAUUUCGCAACGAUUACCGAGGAGGUAAUGUCGCCAGGUCUUAAGUGCAUAGACUACGGCUGCAAGCUCUAGAUCAUGAGUAGGAUAAUUCUCCUCAUGUGGGUGCAAUUGCCGUGAAGCGUAAGCAAUUACGUGUCGAUCUUGCAUGAGAAUGCAACCUAGUCCUUGUCGCGAGGCGUCGCAGUAGAUAACGAAGUCCUUGGAGAAGUCUGGCGGUACCAGUACGGGAGCAGAGGUCAGGCGUCUUUUCAAUUCCUGAAAGCUGUGCUCACAUUGUGGAGUCCACUCGAACUUUUUAUCUUUCUUGAGGAGUUCGGUUAGAGGUUUAGCAACUUUGGAGAAGUUUUCAACAAAGCGACGGCAAUAGCUCGCUAAGCCCAGAAAACUCCCAACUUGCUUGACCGAUUCAGGUGGAGUCCAAUUAAGGACAUCUUGAACUCGCUCAGGGUUAACCGCAAUACCUUUACCAGAUAUUACAUGACCCAGAUAGGUCACUUCUGACAACCAAAAUUCACAUUUAGAGAAUUUGGCAUAAAGACGAUGCUCUCGAAGUUUCUUCAGCACUAGCCUUAGAUGUUCGGCAUGUUCUUCCUCAUUCUUGGAGUAGAUGAGUAUAUCAUCGAGAUAAACCACGACGAAUUUAUCCAAAUACUCCAUGAAGAUUGAGUUCAUUAAUCGAGAAAAGGUGGCUGGAGCAUUGGUUAAACCGAAGGACAUGACGGUGUACUCGUAUUGGCCAUAACGAGUAACAAAGGCCGUUUUAGGAAUGUCCCCGUUCCUGAUUUUGAUUUGAUGGUAGCCCAACCUCAAAUCCAUUUUGGAGAAGACUGAGGAUCCAGCGAGCUGAUCAUACAGGUCGUUGAUCCUGGGGAGCGGAUAUUUGUUCUUGAUUGUGACCAAAUUGACAGGUCGAUAAUCUACAACCAUCCGGUCCGUACCAUCCUUCUUCUUGACGAAGAGGACGGGGCAAGCCCACGGAGAUGAACUAGGUCGGAUGAAACCCUUUUUCAAGGACUCAUCGAGUUGUUUCUUAAGCUCGGCUAGUUCUAGUGGUGCCAUCUUAUAGGGUCUUCUAGCAAUCGGGACGGUUCCUGGAAUAAGGUCUAUUACGAACUCAACAUCCCUGUCAGGUGGAACACCUGGCAAUUCCUCUGGGAAGACAUCCGGGAAGUCACGGACUACCGGAACGUCCUCAAGGUCUGGCAAAGGGCUGGCGUUAAGAGAAUAUAACUGUCGCUUGGCUAUUCGGGUCAAGACAUUGACUAUCUUCCCCGAAGGAUGAGUGAGUUGAACAGUCCUAGAGAAGCAAUCAAUUUUGGCAUGAUGAGCUGACAUCCAGUCCAUACCCAAAAUGAUAUUAAUAUCUGAAAAUUUGAGAGCUAUCAAAGAUGCAAGGAAAACAAGUCUGUCGACUUGGAUUUCAUUUCCAUAACUUACCCUGGAGGUUUGCCAUCUAGAACCGGGAGUAGAAAUUUCCAUAGUGGAUGGCAUGUCACAGAAUGCGGUGUUAUGCAAACGAGCAUAGUUCUCGGAUAUAAAUGAAUGAGAGGCUCCUGUAUCGAAAAGAACAGAUGCCGGGUGGCAAUUAACAAGGAGCAUACCGAGAACGAUGUUGGGAUCCUCUUGAGCUUCUUCCGCAGAGAUACAGUUGACAUGGCCACGUGUAGCGGUGGCCGGCUUGGCGUGGAACACUUUCCCUGUCGGCUUGCCACGGCCAACAGCUUUAGCAGGUUGGUUGGGGUUGGUCUGGGGACACUCACGCAUAUAGUGGCCAGAUUCCCCACACUUGAAACAAGUCACGGAACUGGUACGUGGAGGAGCACUGUUGGUUGGACCACCAUAGGACUUGGCUGGUGCAGACUGUUGAACGGGGCGAGGCGCCUGGAAGGAUGGCCUCGGUGUGAACCUGGGUGGCAGGGCAGUGUUGGGCGCCCACACGGGGCGCUUCUGAGGACCAGCACUGGAUGAGGAACCCACGUCACGGCCAUGCUUGCGUGUUGCGUCAUAAUCAGUCUGACCAGUCUCAGCACUGAUGGCCUUGUUAACAAGCUUCUGAAAAGAUGUGCACUCAUGCAGACGGAGGUCGCGGCGAAGCUCAGGACUAAGCCCCUUACGGAACCUUGCUUGCUUCUUGGCAUCGGUAGAAACUUCCUCAGUGGCAUAUCGUGCGAGGUUACCAAACUCCCUGCUGUAAGCAUCCACAGAGAGUCGGCCUUGGGUGAAACUGCAAAAUUCCUCACGUUUACGGUCCAUGAGACCCUCCGGAAUGUGAUGUUCACGGAAAGCCUCGCUGAAUUCAGCCCAAGUAGUGACAUGGCCCGCUAGGUGCAUAGCUCCAUAAUUCUCCCACCAGAGACUGGCGGGGCCUUCAAGAUGAUAUGCAGCAAAGGUGACCUUGUCAGCCUCGGCUACUAGUGCGGAGCGCAGUUUGUGAGAAAUACUGUGAAGCCAGUCAUCAGCGUCGAGAGGCUCGACGGAGUGGUGGAACGUGGAUGGAUGUAACUUGAUGAAAUCACUGAGUGACACCACGUUAUUCCUCUGAUGGUGUGUUGUGUUCUGUUCAAUACGCUCCAACAAAUGGUUGGUCUCCCGCUUGUUUCUCUCAGCUUCCAGCAUAACCUCGGCUAGGGAAGGAGGAUGAGGCAGAUUUGCAUUCCUGACUUCACUGCCUUCGGCCGGCUCUUGAGGAGCGGGGUUAUUGCGCGUGUUGACCAUCCUAGGUAAACAAGACAAUGAUUUAGUCAGAAUGAUAAGAUUCCGACAUAGAAUACAGAAUGUAAGGAGUAACUCGGAAUGCAGGAUGAUCAUCCGUAUGACAUGGUAGAUACAGAAACUGCUUCUUUAUUGCAUCGUCAUACACACCAUACAAGGUUUAGUACAAGACCAAACAAGGUACUAUUACGGUGAAAAGAGGAUUACAUCUCAUCGGAGGCAUCCCAAGCUCCUAUACAUUAUUUUUCUACACCUCCGGAAGGUGGUACAAACUAGGUCAUAUCCCACGAGUCACGCAGGACGAUAGACGACACAGCUAGCACGAACUAGUGAUACUACCACUAACUCAGACCGAUCCGUAGUAGUCCUCAUAGAAGUCACCUCCAUAGCCUGGAAGCUCAACAUGAUCAUCCGGAAACAGACGAUCUCGCGGAGCUUGUGGACCAUAGGGGGUAGGAUGAGGUCUUGGACCAACAGACGGUGGCCUGCGGGGACCGUGAGGUGGGGUGAUGCCUUCUACAUCACACCAACCCAUCACGUCUGGCAGAGCAGAUCUCACAGGAUAGAGAUCGCGCAUAUCCGAAUAUCCAGCUUGCACCGCCGGUGCAAACCGAGUCAACGUGGCCCAAUGGUCAGCAUGGGUAUUGAAAAGCUCUAGCCUCAAGGCCCGAUUUUCACGGUCCUUAUCCUCGAGCAUCUCAGCAGUGGUGCGAGUCCGUGAAUCCUCCUGAGUGGGGUCAGCAUAGAUAGCCUGGAGAUACCCUUGUGCUCCCGGAAGUGAUCCUGGCAUAUACCGGAAAUCAGAGUCCCGAAAUAGGCCAGACCUGACUCGCAUGAUGGUCAUCAUAGAGUAGGCGGCGUCCUGCACAGCCAUCUCAAUAGUAACCCCGAGUCCAUAGGAGCAGUGAAGGGGCUCGGUGGAUCCAGGAUAAGAUGGAAAUAUCCUGACAGUGCAGAGAUACUGGCUUUGAUUAAAGUCUCGAAAUUGCUCUUCGACCGUGUACUCAGGAUACCAACGGUAUCCAGCCUCAGUCAUUACCCUGACCAACAUGGCGGUAUGACCGGGUACAUCUAGGCAUCGAGUCAGGCGAACCACUUGAUUGAGGUCGCGAGUGGCCAUCUGAAAGCACAAUCAUAAUGCAAAGGCAUUAGAAUUCCUAGCAAAAUUUCGGCAGCAUAACAGCUAUAAAUUCUCAAGAAGGAUUUGAGACAUUUGACAAAGGAUUUCAUACACACUCAACAUCAUCAUAUCAAAGUUCUGAGUCCAUCCUAACAACAUAAUGUGGUAGUAGAACUGAACUAGGCUUGUAUCCAUCAAACCUAUAAGGUACUACUGAUUAGUAACACGUGAUCCUGAUAGAGAGAAUAGAUCCUAAUUCCUUAACCCCCGGUGGAAGAAUAGACUGACUCAGAUCAGAAUGUCAUAAGAUAAAGAAGUAAAAAGAGCCUUACGUUCCAACCCACAAACAAUUCCCCUACAUAUAACUAAAGAAUUUCUAGACUCAACAUCGACCAGUUUGGCUCGGAGAACCUACAGGCAGUCCGGCUCUAAUACCAACGCUGUUAGGACCCCGACUCGAUGUCACAUCGAUCUAGCUUGUAACACCUCAUAUCACUUUGUGGCCUCACGCACGGUAUCCCCACGGGUGUUGCCUUACCUUUUCCCGGGACUGUUUGCGCCUUUUGGCUCACGUAUAUGAUAGUGUCGCUAGCAUCCAUAAGAUAAGGAGCCCGGGCUGACAUGACUAGUUGUAAACCCAAAGUGGCACAGACUUACAGGGACAGGCAUCCAUGACCCAGCUUCGAACGUGUCGGUCAUCAGCAAGUGGGUCCGGGCUGUAGCACUGGGCUAGCAGGACUCCGGUAAACCGGGCUGUAGCGGGCUAACAGGACUCCGGUACUCAAUGCGUGACAUUUCCCCGAAGGGACAUACACAGGAACGAAGAAGGACACGUGCCGGCCAGCCUAAGUGUUCCAGAGCAGUAGCAAGCUACCAUGGCUCAGCGGUAACACUAGGAGACAUUUCCCGGUAAGAGAGGCUACUAAAGAUAAACAACUAGAUAGUCAGAUCCCACACAUACCAAGCAUUUCAAUAUCAUACACACAAUAUGCUCGAUAUGUGCAAAUACAACAUGGCAUCACAACAUGACUCUACGACACAAGUACUUUAUUUAAGGCUCAAAGAGCCAUACAUAACAUACACAUAGGUACGGGUCACACGACCUAGCAUUCAAGUCAUACAGUCAUACAAACCAGCAGCGGAAGUAACUUGUCUGAGUACAGACAACUAGUAAAAUAAAAGAGGCUUGGAAAGCCUAGCUAUACUACGUGGUCCUUCACAAGCUCAGGAUCACCACCUGGGCCUUAGUCUACUCAUUGAUGUCAACGUCUACGAAGAACCCAUCAGAAGGGGUUGCAGCGUCUUCUGUAAAAAUGUAAAUUAUAGCAACAUGAGUACAAAGGUACUCAGCAAGACUUACAUCAGAUCCUACAUACAUGCACAUUAUCAAGAAGGGUUGGUGGAGUUGUUGCAGCAAGCCAGCUUUGACUCUUGGCUAGGCUAUCCUACGAGACUUCAACUUGAAAUGGUUUUGCGCACACGAGUCCACUACUCACCACUUCAAUACACUACCGAGGAUCCACCUCCGUCUUCCUACGGAAGAGCCAUCCUCGGCACUCACACUUAUCUUGAGGCUUUUAGUAGUUUCCAUUUACUUGUCUAUGAACUGUAUAGGCAACCAAGUAGUCCUUUACCGCGGACGCGGCUAUUCGAAUAGAUUAUGUUAACCCUGCAGGGGUGUACUUCUUCAUACACGCUCUCACCACUUACCGUCGUUUACACGACAUGUACUCGGCAACCUUCAAGCGGAAGCCCAAUGUGGGUGUCGGCCACGACCUACCUAAUCACCUAAGUCUCCAAUCCAGGUUUAUCGCCUAUCCAGGUUCCAUCCGCAGGGAGUCCGGCCGAGGUUUCCCAUACGGCCCCGAACAAUGUGUACAGGGGUUCGUGACACCUAACGGGUGCCCGGUAUCCCCGGCCACGUACCUACCGCAUCACAGCCCACCCCUACGGUCAGCGCAGUCCACGGCCUCCAGUAGGCUACAAACACCAGAAACUACUUGCAACUCCUGGACGGAGAACUAGGGUGAAUAAGAAGCCGAGAGGGUCCAUUGGUUUCGGGCCCAAUGCAUGGUAGUAGCUGAUUCUUAAAUCACACAUACAGAUCUCAGUGCUUAAGGUCGGCUUCAAUGAAACAACCCACCAUGUACUCCUACAUGGCCUCUCAUCGAUACCUUUACCAAAUCGUGUUCACCACACCACUCUCAUUACUGACAUAAUCAUUUCACUCUAGCCCAUCACCCAGAUGAACCAGACCUGACACGACUCUAAGCAUAGCAGGCAUAGCAAGGUAGGAACAACACAUACAUAUGGCUCAAUCAACUCCUACACAUGCUAGUGGGUUUCAUCUAGUUACUGUGGCAAUGACAGGUCAUGCAGAGGAAGUGGGUUCAACUACCGUAGCACACAGCAGUUUGAAACGCGUUGUCUUAAUGCAGUAAAAGAGAGCAGGAGCGAGAACAUGGGAUUGUAUCGAUAUGAUCAAAUGGUUGGUUGCUUGCCUGAUGGUUCGAUGCACUGAUACGGUUCUUCGUUGGGGUAAUCACGGUACUCCUCGGAGGCUGAACCUGCCGCAAGAACACCGAUACACAACCAUCACCAAACAAUGUGCAACAAUAUGAUGCAUGCAUGAAACAUGGCAAUAUGAGUGAGUUGGGCUAAUGCAACUAAGACCAGAAGGGUUUGAACCAAUUUGAAUCAAAGAUUCAAAUUUCAAAUUCAAACAUGGCCCUUUAAAGUGUUUUUCCUUGUUCUGCAUUAAACAUCAGGUUAACUUGUUUAAUCAUGCAUGAAAAUAGUACAGAUGGAUAGAUUGGAUUUUUCUGAUCAUUUUUCAUAUAUAAUUUGUCUGAUUUGGAGUUACAGAAUAAAAGUUAUGAAUUUUUGAAGUUUAAACUAUAUUCUGGAAUUUCCUAUAUUAGAUUAAAUCCAGAAAAUCAAUUACUGCAUCAGCCUGACGUCAGUGUGACGUCAGCAGGUCAACGGGACACGUCCGGGUCAAACCUGACAGUGGGUCCCGCGUGUCAGUGUGAUUAGAUUAGUUAAAGUUCAAUUAAAACUAAACCUGUUUAAUUAACAGGGCUGGGCUCCACCUGUCAUUGACUCAGGAGAGUCAACCAGGGCCCACCUGUGGUCAAACCCGGGUCGGCUGCACCGGCGUUUAGCCGCCGGCGAGCCCGACGCGGCGGCGGAAGUGAUUUUUGCCGUUCCGGCAACCAAACGAGCCGCGGAGGCCACCGGAGAGGAGCUGAUGUCGAGCCGCAGCUCUUGGUGGAGUCCGUUGGGGUCGGGGUGGCCGGAGUUGGCACCAGCGACGACUUUGGCGGCCACUAGGGUUCGGCCGAAGUCGAACUUGACGCAAGAGGGGUCGGUGAGGUGCGGGGAGUAGCUAGUUAGGUGCUACGUGACGCGGUGAGCAUGAUGGACACCGUGGAGUGGUCGGAGGGUGACCGGGAGCACGUCGGCGACGAGCUCCACGGUGGUUGGUGCGGUUGAGCUCCGGGAGGUCGCUACACGGCUGGGGAGCAAGAAAGAAGGGAGGGGAAGAUGGCUAAGCUCACGGGGAGUUCGACGAAGCGCUUGGUGUGGCUGGGGAUGGACCGGAGCGACGACGGUGUUGAAGGGGAUCUCCGGCGACGGCGGUUCAGUCGAGGUCGAUGCAGUGGGCUCGGGCCUUGCGAGCGCUCGGGGCUCGGCUUGCUCGAAGGAGAGGAGGGUAGCGGGGCUCCUGGACACGGCGGCACGGCGUGGGGUCGACGGAGGGCGUGGCUACGGCGAGGGGGUGGCGGCGAUGGCGUCGGCCAUGGCGGCGGAGCGCGAGAGAGAGGGGUUGGGGGAGAAUGGAGGUGUCCUGCGGGUUCACGGCGCUGCGUGGAGCUCAUCCAUCCAGCCCCGAGGCGAGGAGGUGGAGCAGGGCGGCAGCCAGCUGCGUGGCGCGCGCUACGGUCGCCGUCGGGCACCUGCCUGCCUGCCUGGCCGGCAAGCAGCUCGCUGGAGCGGCGCUGGGCUGGGCCGGCAGGUGGGCCGGGUGCUGGGCGCCAGGUAAGGUUUUUCUAUUUUUCUUUCUGUUUUCUGUUUUUUAAUACUUCUGCAACUUUGUUGAAUUAAUAAAAAUACUUAGGCAACUCCUAAAAUCACCAAACUACUCCUGGUCCAUAGUUGGAUUAUUUCCAACAUGAAACAUUUUAGUUUGGAGAUAUUUGGGCAUCUGAAUAUUUUAUAUAAUUUUAAAUACCCAAAUUCAAAUAUCUAUGAUUUAAUUCAAAGACCCUAGGAUGUCCUAGGAAAAUGUGCAUCACUUUUGUCAGGGGUUCUGAACCAGGACAAGAAUGAUGGGCAUUUUAGAAGGGCAUUUCAGUUUCAUUGAAAAAAAGUUUUUAGUAAACCCUAGUUGGUUUCAGAGGGGGCUGGGGGUUCUGUCAUCCCCAUUUCAGGUUUCUGAUGAAAGAAUAAAUAUGAUGCAACACUCUAAUGCAUGACUAGCUAGGGUGUGACAACGUGGCGCUGCGCCAGUUGCUGCGGGGCGGCGCCGAUUUCGUCCGGCGAGGCCGGACGUGUCCGGUGGCGGCGGGGCGAUUUGAUCUAGGGUUUUGAUCCGAAAAAUGGAGGAGGAGGACGUUUUUAUAGGUAGAGGGAGCUAGGGGAGUCCAAAUGAGGAGCGGUUUUCGGCCACACGAUCGUGAUCGAAUGACCGAGAGGAUGGAGGGGGUUUGGAUGGGUUAUUGGGCUGAUUCGGAGGGGUGUUGGGCUGCACACAAAAGAGGCCUUUGCGGUUACCCGGUUAACCGUUGGAGUAUCAAACGACCUCCAAAUGGGACGAAACUUGACAGGCGGUCUACUGGUGGUGUACCAAGGCCGCUUGGCAAACCUCGAUCCAUUCCGAGAACGUUUAAUACCCGCACAUGAAAAGAGGCAAAAGGGGUGCCGGGGGACAUAGGAGUGCCGGAUUGCAAAACAGACAACGGGGAAGAUGCUUGGAUGCAAGAGACGAACACGUAUGCAAAAGGAGAUGCACAUGAUGACAUGAUAUGAAAUGCAGAUGAUGAGAUGGCAAAAUGCAACACGCAAGCAAAUGACAUGGCAACGACGAUGAAUAACUGGCGGACACUUGGCGCAUCGAAUCCGGGGCGUUACAGGCGCUCCGGGCGGCCUCUGGCUUCAGGCGGACGGUUGCUACAGCAGGGCCUCCUGGGCUUCGCUGGAGGUCUCCAUCGCCGGUAAUGCGGUCCUGACCCGCGGCUGGCAAUUGUUUGCCCGCACGCGUGGCCUGAGUCGGCGGUGCACCCUGCACUUCAAGUUCGACGGCGACGCCACCCUCUACGUGAGGGUGUUCGAGGAAGAUAGCCGCCGUGCUGGGUGCUGCCCUGAAGACGAUGACCGCGGCCGUGUGCCCAGCCCCGGCGUUGAUCAAGAAGAAGAUGGCGACAGGCGCGUUGGCAGCGAUGCUCGGGGCUCGCCAAGCUUCGGCGACUCUCCUUCAGACAGCAACUGCUCCAGCGGUGGUCGCGACCAGCCCCCGCGCCGUCGCGCCCGCCUGGGGGAAGGUAGCGGGUCAGUCUGCCGGCGCGCCCCGGUGAAGCGAGAGGGGGUAUCUAACUGAGUUCCGGAGGCAGUACAGUCCCUCGCCGCGAGUUGGUGCCGAGCAAGUCAUGCCAAUUUUGUUUUUCUUCCUUUCCUGCGUAAAAAGAAAGUAGUAUAGGGCCCCGCGGGGGCGUGUUGAACUGUUGUUGUUAAUUAUCGUGUUGUUUCCGCUAUUUCUAUGCUAUGUUUCCGUGCCGCAUGCCCAUGUGCGGGAAUUACUUACCUGGGGGAGGCUCGUCGCGGUCUUCGCCUCCCGAGGCCGAGGCCUCGCCAUGCGCUUCAUGUCCUGGAAGGAUUAGUCAGGAGGGGUAUCUUUCGGUCUCGGUUGUGGGGUGACCGACCCAGGUCCUGUGCUCGCGUCGCGAUGCCUGUGGGGCACGGACUGGGAGGGGUGCUCCUGCGGCGGACUCGGAUAGGAAAGCCUCAGACGACCGGGGCAGAAAACACUCGCGAGGGUGCCCACGUACCUCCCUUGCGAGACUUGCGUGAGAGAAAACGAGGCAAGUGAGUGAAAAAGACAAAGAGUCACAAGCCAGAGACGGCAACAGCUCCAAUAAAACUUCAAAUAGGAACGAACAAGCCAACUGCAGAAAGCAAAUGAAAAAGCCGCGUCCGGCACCUAAUCUAGUCUUCAACUUCUUCUCACCAGUGCGGAGCUAAGUGCUGCCACUGGGCAUGGGCGAGAGCCCCUGAGGCCCGAGGGCGGCACUCCGGAGACUCCGGGGUGUGUACAACCCCACUCAUUAUUACGUGAGAGUGUCAAGCGGUGAGCUUCACAGGCAUUGGCCUUCUUCACAGGCACCGGGCCUUUUCCAAAAUGCGGCAUCUUCAUAGGCAUUGGCCUUCUUCACAGGCACCGGGCCUUUUCCAUAGGCACUGUGCCUCGCUCAGGGGUAGAAUCUUAGGACAUUUUGAAUGUUCCAUGCGUUCUGGAUGGGUACUCCCUCCUGGGUCUCCAAGCGCGCGGAGCCGGGCCUAGAAACAUGAACAACCUUGAAUGGGCCCUCCCACAUGGGAGAGAGCUUGAGCAACCCCUCCCUGGAGAGGACCCAUCUCAGCACGAGGUCCCCUACCUCAAGAGUUCUGGUGCGGAUGUUGCGGCAGUGGUAUCGUCGCAGCGCCUGUUGAUACUGUCGGAUUUCGGGUUCCGGCAGACCCUUAAGGUUCGAACUCUGGGGUGCACGCGGAAAUCACACCUCCUGCCUACACGCGUUUCGUCGCCUCGCAAGGAUCUAAAACUACCCGAAGGAUAACACAAGGGACACAAGAUUUAUACUGGUUCAGGCCACCAUUGUGGUGUAAUACCCUACUCCAGUUUGUGGUGUGGUGGAUUGCCUCAGGGGCUGAUGAUGAAUAGUACAAGGAAGAACAACCUCGCAAGGGGCUGUUCUUCGCUGGUGCGAUGAACUGCUUGGGUGAGUUCAGUCGCCUCUCUGUCUCUCUCUUUUGUUGAUCUCUAGAUGCCUCUACCCUGUGGGUGGCUAGUCCUAUUUAUAGAUGGAGGCCCUGGGCCUCUUCCCAAAUAUUGAGCGGGAAGGGCGCCAACAAUUGGCCAUUUUGAAGGGGAACAUCUAGUACACUUAUCCUGACUAAAGUUGGUCCUCGCCUGCCAAAUACCCUGACGGUGACGCCGGCUUGGGCUCCACGGUGACCUCCAUCCUGCCGUCCAACUGGUCUUGGUCUUGUUGCACCAAAAUGGUUACCUUUGCUUGAUACUCUUGCCUGCGCUUGCCCCCUUUACACCAAAGAGGAAACAAGGACUCUAUGCAGGCCAGUGCCCGCCUGGCGCCCGCCUGGCCUCGGAUGUCAUUGCUUGCGUCACGGGCACCUCGUGAGGUACCCCGCCUUGAUCUCUCCGCCUCCUCGCGAGCCAGCCUGACGAGGCUGUGCCCGAGGAAGCCUCCUAUCGUCUGCCCCGCGAGGCUUGGCCCCUCGCGAGGGUCUUAAGUAUGGGUUGAUGAAGAUGGGCCGUACUGGGCCACUCCCUGAGCCACGCCGCAGGCCGCAGGUAGGCAAGUCUGGGUACCCCCGUUCCCAGAACGCCGACAAUAGCCCCUGGGCCCAAGGCACGCCCGGACUUGGCUUACCAGGGAAGCGAAGGGGCAAGUGCGAAGCGCCGCAGGCCCCAAUAGCCUGUGGCCUGGGGCGCCGCGUGGCGGUUGAUUGGACGUGGGUGUCCCUGUUUCCCCACGCCUCCUUAUUUUGCGCCCAGCUAGGUGGACCCGCGGUUGCAUAGAGUCAUCCCUCUUCUCGCCGCUCGCGCGUCUCCUGCUCUUCCUCCUCUCGAGCUCUAGUCUCUGCUUCCAAUCCAAUCUCGAAUCCUCCCCCUUCCUGUCGCCAUGGCACCAACGAAGAAGGGGAAAGGGCAGAAGCAUGUGCCCUCGCCCCGCUCGCCGCUGUUGACGGCUCCUGUUGUCGAUCAGUCGAUCAUACUCAACCUGGAAGGCUUGGACAAGGUUAGUUUUGCCCUUGCCACCAUCUUCAACGAGUGUGGGAGGACGACGGUCUGGCCCGCGUCUCACUUCUCCAUUGACAAAAUAGUCACCGAGGUCCGGUACUUCGCCGACGCCCUGUGGGUGGAACUGGUUCCCCCCUUCUCCGAUUUCUUCAACACCGUACUUUCGCAUUACCAGAUCUACAUGAUGCAUUUGGGUCCCAAAUCCAUUACUCUUCUUGCCGUUUCCGCUUUUGUUUGCGAGGCGAUGGUGGGCAUUCCUCCUUCAGUUUCCUUGCUACGCUACUUCUUUUCUUUGCGCCUUAGUGACCCCUCCCAAUGCUCGGGGUGCUUGAGCAUCCUUGCCGCACUAGAAACGGCGGCCUCGGGAAUUGAUAUCAGUCUUCCUCCGCCUGCGACUGGGUUCCGAGAGCGGUGGCUGUACGUCAAUGUCGGAGUGCGCAGCCCCUGCUCUCGGAGCCAACCUUGCCCGCUAUCCCCAAUUCGGGCUGGGGCCAGGAGACACUCACGAGCCCCCGGCUCGUCUUCGUCUCGCAUCGCUUUGCGAACUUGAGGGUGCUCGGUGUGAUGGCACCCAAGGUGGUGAAGGAGUUCCUCCUGUGUUGCAUUGCCCCUCUCCACCGCCAUUCCCGCCGGAUGUGGGCCUUCGGGGGGCGUGAAGACCGCAUGAGGCUCCAGGAGGAAGAUCUGGUGCCUGAAGUGCUGAGGAAGGUUCUCAUGAUCCUGACUGGGGACCCUUCCCCUAGCAGCCUCCAGCAAGGGGGUGCCCUGCUGUACCUUUGCUCAAGCAGGGCUAAUUUUGUGAAGCAGAUGCCCAGCUUCGAUGAAUGGGGGCUGCGCCCCGCAGGCCUCAUGGGACCUCGUGAGAACCAAGUUGUGGUGGUUGCCCUUUCGGUUGCCCACGGAGGUCCUUCCUCGAGUGGUGGAGCUGGGAGGCAAGGGCCGCCGGGGGCUGAGGGGGCCGCCGUCGGGAUGAUGACGCCAUGCGGAACUCCUGAGGCGGCAGCUCCUGAGGCCCGCCCUAUGGCGGCUGAAGGUGUUGAGCCGCGGCCCGCGGCUCCCGUGGUAGAGGCUCCUAAGGCCCUGGCCACCCUUCGCGGGGCGGCGUCCGGCAGCGUGCGCCAGGGCGAUGCCCCCGACGCCGGUCACAUUGGCGCUUCUUCCUCGCGCAGGCUGACCCUUGCGCCAAGCUCCUAGGCCGCUUCCGUGUGGACUUCGAGGCUCUCCGAAAUAGAAAGGAGGCCUUGGGUGAUGAUUACCCUCGCCGCCUAUUGAAGCGCAGGAAGUACUUCGCCAUUGAUGAGUAAGCCUUCCCCUUUCUUAGUACCUUUCUUUUCGGUUGCUUCAGCUGAUCAUUGCCCUGCAGGGCCCUUCCUGCCGAGUUCACGGAGACGGCUGAGGAGCCAUCCUCCAGGCCUCGCCCUCUCCAACGUCCCCAAGCGCCCCGAGCUCAAGCACUGCCCUUGUGGUGAGGCCGGUUGGGGAGGUGAGCCAUCCUGUGAUGCAUCAUGAUUCUGCGCACCUCGCGACCCUCCUUCGCGAGCCCUCCUGGGGUAUAGCCAGCCUGCCCUGGGCUCUUCGAUUGGUCGUGGACGGCGAUUGGCUGAGGUCGGUCUUGCGUUCUUCCUUGGAGGAUGAACCGGCUCUGGGCCAGGCUUCUGGCGAGGCGCGUCCGGCCAUCGCGAGGGCACCAGCCCCCAGCCCCCUGCCCAGAGGGGGAGUGCUGGUUCGUGGCCCCCCGCGCGCGCCUGGGGCGGAGGAUGACGCGGAAGACGUGCUCGAGCGUGCUCGGGAGCGCCGCGCCCUUCGCCAAGGGUUUCUCCGAAGGGCGGCUGACGUAGUGAGCCAGCUCGGUGUAGAGCUUGCUGACAAGGAUGCGCGCCUUGAGGCCGAGGGCCUGCGCCUAGCUGAGGAGAGGCGCAAGCUGAAGGUGGCCAUUGCCCUUGCGUGCCACCAACGUGACCUCGACAAUGAGAAAGCCGAGGUGUUGCUGGCGGCUUCUCGGGAGGCCUGCUCCCGGGCCGUCGAGGAGGCACAGGAGGCUGACCAGCAGCGCAGGGCCGCAGAGGAGCGGGCGUGGGAGCUCCGGGCCUGGAGUAGCUCCCUGGAGCAGCAGGUGGAGUUGCGCGAGGCGGCCCUUGCGUCGAUGAAGGGGGCCUCGGUCGACCGGGCGGAGCUCCAGAGACGUGAGGAGGCACUGACACUGGAGGCCACCGAGCGCACCCUGGACCUCGAGCAGUUGGAGACAAGGGAGCACCUGGUGGCACAGGCGGAGGAUGACGUUGCCACGAGGGAAGCCGAGCCUCAGAAGAGGUUGAUCGCCGAGUGGCGGCGGCCCGCUCGAACCUCGAGCGCGAGUUCGAGGAGAGGCUGGAGUUGAUCAGGGUCGAAGCAGAGGGCAGGACCGCCACCCUGAAGGCCAAGCUGGAUGAAGUGACGUGGCGUGCGGACGCCGCCGGGGCCGCCCUUGGCGCGGCACAGGUGGAGUUGGCUUCCUCCCGCGCUGAGGUGCUUCUUCUCCGUCAAAGGGUGGAUGGGGCUGAGGCUGUCGCGCGGCGGAGCGGGGACGAGAUACGCCAGCGGCAGACCUUGGAGCACAUGCAUGGCUCCAUGCUCCACAUGCUCUGGGAAAGAGCUAACACGGCCUUGGGCAACAUCUGCGAGGCAGCCGUCGGGGAGCCUCAUGUGGUUAACUAUGCUAGUAACCUUCAGUUCUUCACCGAUGUGGUGACGCAGCUAGAGACUUGGUCGGGCAGAGCCGACAGGUUGGUUGAGGAAUGGAGUCGUGCUCUGCUUGGGCGUGCUUUUUCUCUCGUCUUCAGUCAUCUCCAGAACAUGGAACCCCAUUUUGACUUCGAUGUCGCCAUCGCUCCGGUACCCCUGGCAAUCCGGGGCGAUCUGGUGCAUUGGGUGGAAGACAACGUGGACGCCCUUGUUAGGGCCUUCACCGCUGAUGACGACGGUGUGGUCGUAGCUGCUGAUGAGGGCGGAGUGGUGAAUGGCCUAGGUGCUGAUGACGGCGGCGUAGAAGGCAACGACGAGGCCAGCAAUGCCAGUGGCGACUCCGGAGGUGCCCCUGAGGAUGCAUUGGGGGAUUUAUCCGAUUAACCGCGCGCUGUUCCUGCUUUUUACCCUGCGUAGAGAGAGUUCGGGCUUGGCCCUGAGGAUUGUAAGAGCAUUUUGGGAGGGCGAACCCCUCAUGUAAAAAAUUGCAGUUAGCGUGUUUGUAGACAUGAUAUCACCCGCAUGCCUACGCCAAGCGGUUGUUCUUGUGACGAGUCGACUGGCUUGUUUGCCUUCGACCCGCAUGGGCCCUGAGCGAGCCUGCGGAGGGCCGUGGUGUCCUGAGUGCCUCCUGAACAAGCCCAUUGAACCUGUAAUGAGAACCUCCUGAGAGGGCGUGGCGACGGCAGUCCGGGCUGCACAUAUGCUGGGCCUGGCCCGGCUCGCGAGGGGCUCACGAGGGGAGGCAGCUGAAGAUGGAUGGACGCAAAGAGGUAACCAGAACGCGAGAGAUUGCUCGAACGAGACUAAACACCCCUUCCCCAAACACACGCAAGUCCCAAGCUCAAAUCCAACUUAAAUCCGAACAGGGGAAAAACGACAACCAAAGGAAAGGCAAAAAGAAACAGAAAGGCCGCGUCCGGCACCUAGUCUAGUCUUCGACGUCUUCUCACCAGCGCGGAGCUAAGUGCUGCCACUGGGCGUGGGCGGGUGCCCCCGAGGCCCUAGGGCGGCUAUCCGGAGACUCCGGGGCGUGUACAGCCCCACUCAUUAUUACGUGAGAGUGUCACGGGGCGGCGAGCUUCACAGGUACCAGCCUUGCUUCAUAUCGCCAGACGAGGGUCCCGCCUUGCGCCACACUCUAUUGCCAUCGGCAAUGGCCGGAGACCGAGGACGCCACCGAUGGGAUAUAGCGGUCGCCAGCGGUUCCCCCGACGACCAUGUCCUCUACCGGGGGUAGGCCCUGAGGCACCUCCCCGGUAGAGGGCCUACCUCCUGAGGACGCCUUGCUCCGAGCGUCGCGUAUGCCUGUUCCUGAGGAAUUAGCGGUACCCGAUAGUCGCUGCCUCCAGCACGGUCGAUGAGGCCUUCCCUGGGAUCCUGAAAGAGCUCAGCUUUGGGUGUCUCUUUCCCCCACCCUGGCCAGAGGAACGAGCCAUGGUCUUCCUCCUGCGCGUGUCCUUGAUCCACCAUGUGGGGCACAUACGCUUCCGGGACCGCCGCCCCGAAUGCCUCGCUGUAGUGCCCCGUGUGCCAUGUAGUCCUGCUCGAGGUGCCCACCUGGGAGUGGUAGCGUGGCGGCCCACCGGGACCGUGGGCUGUAGUCGAUCCCCCUUCGCUGGUCGGAGGCAGACGCGGCACUAUCGGCAGCCAGGCCCGACGGCCAGGUUGGCGUGGGAGUGGCCCUGGAAUCCGCUCGGAGCUAGGCGGGCGCGCGUGGGGCCUCCGUGCGGUCCGCCUUGGGCCUGAGGCGGUGGCUGGGCACAAAAGCGGUGAGCCCCCGAGGCGGCGGAGCCCAGGAGCUCUGCCACCCGCUCCAGUAGAAACAUCGCGGUCGCCCUCCAGCAGCCUGCAUUGCAGUAGCUCUCGGGCUAACGUGAGCGCGACCCUUGAGUUUGCCUGCUCCCACCGAGUGUACGGCGCCGUGGCCGCGGUGUGGCUUGAGGCCCUUGCUGCCGACCGCACCUGCCGCGGCAUGAGAGCUGGCGCCACCUGACCGCGUCGCCCGCGGCCCGCAGCGCCCUGCGGGCCGUGGGCUGCCUGGGGCACAGGGUUGAGGUCGCCCUGGGCAAGCAGCUCUGCGCGGGCGGGCCAGGUCGCCAGGGAUCGGGAUUGCUAGUUGGGUCACCGGACAUGAUCACGAUGAUGCAACGGUACGCGAGGCAGCGGGAGAAGGAUUCCGGCGCACCCCUACCUGGCGCGCCAAAUGUCGGAUUUCGGGUUCCGGCAGACCCUUAAGGUUCGAACUCUGGGGUGCACGUGGAGAUCACACCUCCUGCCUAUCCGCGUCUCGUCGCCUCGCAAGGAUAUAAACUACCCGAAGGAUAACACAAGGGACACGAGAUUUAUACUGGUUCAGGCCACCAUUGUGGUGUAAGACCCUACUCCAGUUUGUGGUGUGGUGGACUGCCUCAGGGGCUGAUGAUGAAUAGUACAAGGAAGAACAGCCUCGUGAGGAGCUGUUCUUCGCAGGUGCGAUGAACUGCUUGGGUGAGUUCAGUCACCUCUCUGUCUCUCUCUUUUGUUGAUCUCUAGAUGCCUCUACCCUGUGGGUGGCUAGUCCUAUUUAUAGAUGGAGGCCCUGGGCCUCUUCCCAAAUAUUGAGCGGGAAGGGCUCCAACAAUUGGCCAUUUUGAAGGGGAACAUCUAGUACACUUAUCCUGACUAAAGUUGGUCCUCGCCUGCCAAAUACCCUGACGGUGACGCCGGCUUGGGCUCCACGGUGACCUCCAUCCUGCCGUCCUGCUGGUCUUGGUCUUGUUGCACCGAAAUGGUUACCUUUGCUUGAUACUCUUGCCUGCGCUUGCCCCCUUUACACCAAAGAGGAAACAAGGACUCUGUGCAGGCCGGUGCCCGCCUGGCGCCCGCCUGGCCUCGGAUGUCAUUGCUUGCGUCACGGGCACCUCGUGAGGUACCCCGCCUUGAUCUCUCCGCCUCCUCACGAGCCAGCCUGACGAGGCUGUGCCCCAGGAAGCCUCCUGUCAUCCGCCCCACGAGGCUUGGCCCCUCGCGAGGGUCUUAAGUAUGGGUUGAUGAAGAUGGGCCGUACUGGGCCACUCCCUGAGCCACGCCGCAAGCCGCAGGCAGGAAAGUCUGGGUACCCCCGUUCCCAGAACACCGACAGAUACCUUGCCGCUCGCAGCGCGGCCUCUCGACGGCGUUCCUCCCCAGCACGAGAUCCGUCCCCCGCAUGGCGUCCUGCUGCGUCUCGUCGAAUGCCAGGACCCAUGCGGAAUGACGCCUGACCUUGUGAGGGAGGAUGGCCACAGCUCCGUAGACGAGGAAGAACGGGGUCUCGCUAGUCGGCUCGGCCGCGGUCUUGCGGAUAGACCACAGCACAGACUGGAGCUCGUUGUACCAGCCCCUGCUGCAGGCCUCCAGCUUCUUCUUGAAGGUCCUGGUUUUGAGGCCCCUCAGGACCUCCGCGUUGGCUCGCUCGGCCUGGCCGUUGCUCCAGGGGUGUGCUACCGAAGCGUAGCAUAUCUGCAUUCGAAGGUUAGAACAGUACGUUUUGAAGAGAUUACUAGUGAAUUGCGAACCGUUGUCGGUGAUGAUGCGGUUAGGCACCCCAAAUCGGCUCACGAAGCCCUUGAUGAACUUGACUGCGGAGCCCGCUAGGAUGGUGCGGACAGCUUCCACCCCAGCCCACUUGGUGAAAUUGUCCAUGGCGACGUAGAGGUGGCGAUAGCCCCCUGGCGCCCGAGGGAACGGGCCCAGAAUGUCCAGCCCCCAAACUACGAAUGGCCAUGAGAGGGGUAUAGUCUGCAGACCCCCCGCCGGCUGAUGGAUCUGCUUGGCGUGGAAUUGGGAGGCCUCACAAGCCUUCACCAACUCAACGGCGUCACUGAGUGCUGUGGGCUAGUAGAAUGAGGGUUCGUGAUGAUGAGUGAUGCCCAUAGUCUCCACCGUGUAUGUCUGCCAACAGCUCCUUCCCUUACUCUCUGGAAAUGCAACGUAGGGACACGUCAUUUGGUCGCCUCCAGUAGAGCUCUCCAUCCUUGACGCAGUAGGACGUGGCCUGCCACGCCACACCCUCCGCGUCCUCCUCCUUCUCCGGCAGGGUCCCUUGCGUCAAGUAGUUCUUGAGCUCUAUGAUCCAACAUCCUUCCUGAGGCUCCAGCACCAGGAGCAGGCGUGCCCUUGAGGCCGGGCCGUAGGCCGGGGCUCCCGAGGCAAGCGGCUGAGGGAGCUCCUCCUGAGGUUGCGCCGUGCUUGAUAGUGAUGGUGCCAUCGAGGGCUUGAAGAGUCUCUCCUUGAAGACGCCAGGCUCCUGAUGCAGCCGCCUGGAUGCCCUCUUGGUGAUGUCAUCAGCCUCUUGAUUGGUGCCGCGAGGCACAUGCUGCAACUCCAGCCCCCAAAACUGUUUCUCCAUCCUACGAACCUCCGCGGGGUAGGCUUCCAUGUGCUCGUCCUUCGGCUCGUAUAUCUUGUUGGAGAAUUUGACGAGGAGUUGCGAAUCGCCCUUGAUGAUGAGGCGCUUUACCCCCAAGGCGACUGCGGCUUUCAGGCCAGCUAUCAGGCCUUCGUACUCUGCUAUGUUGUUGGAGACCUUUUCUCCAUGCUGAAAACAGGGUUGUACGGCAUAGUAGAGAUUGUCCUGAGUAGGAGAUACGAGCACUUCGCCAGCCCCCGCGCCAUGUCGGGAGAAUGCCCCGUCGAAGUACAUGACCCAGCCAUCCGGUGCCUCGCUUCCCGGGGAAAGUGAUCGGUCCGUGCCUGCCUCGAGGCCCGGUGCCUCUGCCCAUUCUGCCGCAAAAUCUGCAAGUGCGGCUCCCUUGAUGACUCUGGUCGUGCUGAAUUCUAGCUGAAACGCUUGCAGUUCGAUGUUCCGUUUAGCGACUCUUCCAGCUGAGUUGGGGCUCCUGAGUACCAUUUCCAACGGGUAUGCUGAGACGACCUUGAUGGGAUGGCCUUGGAAGUAGUGCCGCAGCUUGCAUGAGGCUACCAAUAGCGCGAGGAGGAGUUUUUGAGGCAUGGGGUACCGCGCCCUUGUGUCCCGUAGCACCGUGCUGAUGAAGUACACGGGGUGCUUGACGAGGUUGAGGGUGCUGGCGCUGCUUGCAUCCUUCGGAGGUUGGGGCGCCUCCUAAGACGACGGAGCCCCCAGCGCUUGGUCGCUUGGAGAGGCCUCUUCUGCUCCGGGUGCGCUCCCUUGUUGUAGCUGAUCCUUUUUGGCUGCGGUCGCGGUCUUUGUGAGGCUUUCUUGGCUUCACUUUGCUUCGACCCGGACGGUUGCUGCGGCCUUGGUCCGAUGCCCCUCCCUAACCGCCACCAGGGCUGCGCUGGCGGAGUAGGGGGUGGCUGCAAGGUAGAGCACAAGGGACUCCCGAGGACGCGGAGCUACCAUCCCCAGAGGGCUGGUAAGGUACCUCUUGAGAUCUUGGAAUGCCUUGUCAGCCUCUUCAGUCCAUUCGAAGGGGCCCUUCUUCUUCAUCAGCUUGAAGAAGGGCAGUGCUCGUUCCCCCAGCUUGGAGAUGAAGCGUCCUAGCGCGGUUACUCGCCCGGUGAGCUUCUGCAUUUCUCUGAGGGUCUUCGGCGGGCUCAUGUCUUCGACUGCUUUGACCUUCUCCGGGUUGGCCUGGAUGCCCCUGUGGUACACAAGGAAACCCAAGAGCUUGCCCGAGGGGUCUCCAAACACGCACUUCUCCGGGUUGAGCCGCAGGUCCACUUCAUUGAGGCUCGUGAAGGUUUCUUCCAAGUCCUGUAUCAGGGUUUUUGCCUCCCGAGAUUUCACCAUAAUGUCAUCGAUGUAAGCCUCAGCAUUCCUCCCGAGCUGCCGGCCCAGGGCGAUGUGCAUCAGCCGCUGAAAGGUCGCGCCUGUGUUGCGCAACCCAAAUGGCAUGCAUGUAUAGCAGUACACUCCACACGGGGUCAGGAAAGCCGUUUUUUCCACGUCUUCUACCGCCAUCUUGAUCUGGUGAUAGCCCGAGAAGGCAUCCAGGAAGCACAACAGGUCACACUCAGCGGUGGAGUCGACGAUCUGGUCGAUGCGAGAGAGCGGAAAUGGAUCCUGCGGGCAGGCCUUGUUGAGGUUGGUGAAGUCGACACACAUGCGUUCCUUUCCUCCAUUUUUCAGCACGACAACUGGGUUAGCCAACCAAUCUGGGUAGCGGACCUCGCGAAUAACCCAUGCUGCCUCUAGCUUGCGAGUCUCUUGGACGAUGAAAGUUUGUUUCUCAGUGGACUGUCGCCUCGCCUUCUGCUUCACGGGGCGCACGUUGGGGCACACGUUGAGGUGAUGCUCAAUCACACCCCUCGGGACACCUGCUAGUUGAUCAGGUUCCCAUGCGAACACCUUCUUGUUCGCGCGCAGGAACUUCACCAAGGCCUCCUCCUGCUCGGGUUCGAGGUUGGCACCUAUGGUGAAGGUGGCGUUAGUGGAUCCGUCCUCGUCGACUGGUACCUGCUUGGUUUCCGCCUUGUCUUGGGUGAAUAGCUGCUUCUUCUUAGCCGGCGCAGCGCCCUUGGGCUCGAGGGCGUCAGUGCUGGCGGGCUGCGCCACCGCAGCCGUCUUGAAAGCAAGCUUGAGCGCCUACAGUGCAUCUCUUGUGUCUCCUGACACGGUAAGGACGCUGCUGCUCCCGGGCAUCUUCAUGAGGUUGUACGCCGGGUGAGUUGCUGCCAUGAACCGGGCCAAGGCCGGGUAGCCGAGGAUGGCGUUUUAGGGGAGGCCGAUGGGGGCGAUGUCAAAGUCGAUCAGCUCUAUUCGGAAGUUGUCGUAGGUGCCGAAGGUCACCGGGAGGCGAAUCUGUCCCAAGGAGGCGGUGGAACCGACUCCAACACCCGAGAAAGGCCUGCUGGGCUGAAGCUGCUCUAGUGGUACAUGGAAGAGGCUAAAGGCCUCCACAGAGAGCACGUUGAGGCUGGCACCGUCGUCGAUAAGGGUCCUGGUGAUGGCCACUUGGCAGAUGGUGGGGGUGCACAGCAUCGGGAGCGCACCCGAACCGGCGGGGUUGGAGGGGUGAUCGUCCGAGUUGAAGGUCAGAUCGGCCUUGGGCGCCACCCAGCCCGGGGGGUGUAACACCCUCGAUGCGGCUAUAUCUCUCACGUGUCGAGGCACGACUUAGAGGCAUAACCGCAUUGUAGGUUUUGUCGCAAGAAGGGUCAUCUUCACACAAUCCCAUGUAAUGAACAAGAAUGGGAUAAAGAGAGUUGGCUUACAAUCGCCACUUCACACAAUACAUAAAUAGAUUCAUACAUCAUCCAAAAAUACACUCAUAGAACGACUACGGUCAAAUCCAAAUGAAAAUAAGAUAACCCCAAAUGCUAGAUACCCGAUCGUCCCAACUGGGCUCCACAACUGAUCAUCAGUUAACGAAACAUAGUAAAGACCAAGGUCCUCGUCAAACUCCCACUUGAGCUCGGUUGUGCCACUUGCAGUGGUAUCCUCGGCACCUGCAUCUGUUUUGGUAGAAUCUGUGAGUCACGAGGACUCAGCAAUCUCACACCCGUGAGAUCAAGACUAUUUAAGCUCAUGGGUAGGAAAGGGGUAAGGUGGUGAAGCUACAGCAAGCACUAAGCAUAUAUGGUGGCUAACAUACGCAAGUGAGAGCGAGAAGAGAAGCAAUGCAUCGGUCGAGAAGCUAGAAAUGAUCAAGAAGUGAUCAUGAAACUACUUACGUUCAUACAUAACCCAAACCGUGUUCACUUCCCAGACUCCGCCGAAAAGAGACCAUCAUGGCUACACACGCGGUUGAUGCAUUUUAAUGAAGUCAAGUGUCAAGUUCUCUACAACUGGACGUUACCAAAUUCCCCGUCUGCCUCAUAACCGCGGGCACGGCUUUUGAAAGAUAAUACCCUGCAGGGGUAUCCCAACUUAGCCCAUCACAAGCUCUCACGGUCAACGAAGGAUAUACCUUCUCCCGGGAAGUCCCGAUCAGUCUUGGAAUCCCGGUUUACAAGACAUUUCGACAAUGGUAAAACAAGACUAGCAAAGCCCCCGAAGUGCCAACAAAUCCCGAUAGGAGCUGCACAUAUCUCGUUCUCAGGGCACACCAGAUGAGCCAGACGUUGGGUUGGCAUAGACCCUGGUUGCCCAAGGGGCGCCGGACAUUGCUCAAGUUGGAUCAGCACUCAAAGGAGCACUGGCCCGGGGGAGUAAGUAAUGAUGACCCUCGGGCUCACGAAAACCCAAGGGAAAAAGGCUUAGGUGGCAAAUGGUAAAACCAAGUUUGGGCCUUGCUGGAGGAGUUUUAUUCAAAGCGAACUGUCAAGGGGGUCCCAUAAAUCAACCAACCGCGUAAGGAACGCAAAAUCAAGGAACAUAACACCGGUAUGACGGAAACUAGGGGACAAGAGUGGAACAAAACACCAGGCAUAAGGCCGAGCCUUCCACCCUUUACCAAUUAUAUAGGUGCAUUAAUUAAACAAGAGAUAUUGUGAUAUCCUAAAAUAUCCAUGUUGCAACAAGGAACAAGCUUCAUCUUCACCUGCAACUAGCAACGCUAUAAGAGGGGCUGAGCAAAAGCGGUGACGUAGCCAAACAAUGGUUUGCUAGGACAGGAUGGUUAGAGGCUUGACAUGGCAAUAUGGGAGGCAUGAUAAACAGUGGUAGGUAGAGCAAAAAUAGCGAUAGAGCAAGCAACUAGCAAAGCAAAGAUAGAAGUGAUAUCGAGGGUAUGGUCAUCUUGCCUGCAAAGUUCUCAGAGUUGACGAAAGCUUGAUCCUCGUUAGCAUACUCAAUAGGUUCCUCGUUCACGUACUCGUCUCCUGGCUGUACCCAAAGCAAGAACACAAGCAAUGGAACCACAAUCAAUCACAAUGCAAUGCACAAGCAACAUGAUGCAAUACAUGGCGUGAUAUGGGAGAUGUGAUAUGCAAUGCGUAUGCGUGCUCCGGAAGGAGAUGAACCAGGCAUCAACUUGGCAAACCAAGUAUGCCGCUGGAAAGAUGAGAUGAUUUCGGUUGAAAUCGAUAUAAAGAUCACCGGAAUCGGAUGCACGGUUUGCAAAUGGCAAGCAAAACAAGGAUGGCACAAUUCUGUGAUUAACAACACGAUGCUACUUAGCAUGCAACAAGAAACUAAGCUACUGUACUCCAACAUAGCAAAAAGCAUAUGUCAGUGAAGUACAAGAGAUGCUUGACAAAAGAUGAACACUGAGCUACGGCUAAUUCACACAUUAACAGGUUCAAACAAGCAUGGCAAAAGUGCAAAAGAUAUCAGCUUCACGGACUUGGUGAAAA